UAAUUCCAGAGAGUGUGGGCCAACUCUCAGCAUUGGUUGCAGCGGAUCUGUCAGAGAAUCCAUGGGUUUGUGUUGUGACAGAGUCUCAUUUCUCCAAUCUCACAAGCUUAAUUGAGUUGUCAAUCAAGAAGUCAUCUCCAAACAUCACCUUGGUCUUCAAUGUGAAUUCUAAAUGGAUUCCUCCUUUUAAACUAAGUUACCUGGAACUCCAAGCAUGCCAUCUAGGUCCCAAAUUUCCUGCAUGGCUGAGAACCCAAAACCAGCUGAAGACAAUAGUGCUCAACAAUGCUAGGAUUUCAGACUCCAUACCUGAUUGGUUUUGGAAGUUAGACUUGCAGCUCGACCUACUGGACUUUUCAAAUAAUCAACUGAGCGGGAAGGUCCCAAAUUCAUUGAAAUUUACAGAAAAUGCUGUUGUGGAUUUGAGCUCCAACCGCUUUCACGGUCCUUUCCCACACUUUUCUUCUAAUCUGAGUUCAUUGUAUUUGAGAGACAAUUCAUUUUCUGGACCAAUACCCCGGGAUUUUGGCAAAACCAUGCCCCGGUUGUCAAAUUUUGACGUCUCUUGGAACUCUCUAAAUGGUACCAUUCCCUUGUCUAUGGCUAAGAUUACGGGUUUGACAAAUCUGGUUAUCUCAAAUAAUCAGUUGUCUGGUGAAAUUCCUUUGAUUUGGAAUGAUAAACCAGAUUUGUACGAAGUAGAUAUGGCAAAUAACAGCUUAUCUGGUGAGAUCCCCAGCUCAAUGGGCACCCUGAAUUCACUUAUGUUCUUGAUACUGAGUGGCAACAAACUUUCAGGGGAAAUUCCUUUUUCUCUGCAGAAUUGCAAGGACAUGGAUAGUUUUGACCUUGGCGACAAUAGAUUAUCAGGAAACCUUCCAUCAUGGAUAGGAGAGAUGCAAUCGUUGUUGAUUCUACGUCUGAGAUCAAACUUCUUUGAUGGAAACAUUCCCUCCCAAGUGUGCAGUCUUUCCCAUCUUCAUAUAUUGGACGUCGCACAUAAUAAUCUGUCAGGAUCCGUUCCUUCUUGUUUGGGAAAUUUGAGUGGCAUGGCUACUGAAAUCAGCGAUGAGAGAUACGAGGGGCGAUUGUCAGUUGUGGUGAAAGGAAGAGAACUCAUAUAUCAGAGUACUCUGUAUCUUGUGAAUAGCAUUGAUCUUUCAGACAAUAAUUUAUCGGGAAAGUUGCCUGAAAUAAGAAAUCUUUCACCUUGAACUUGUCCAUAAACCAUUUUACAGGAAAUAUACCAGAGGAUAUUGGGGGCUUAAGUCAAUUAGAAACUCUGGACCUCUCAAGAAACCAGCUCUCUGGCCCGAUUCCACCAAGUAUGAUUUCUCUGACUUCCUUGAAUCACUUGAACCUAUCUUACAACAGACUAUCUGGUAAAAUUCCAACAAGCAACCAGUUCCAAACCCUUAAUGACCCAUCCAUAUACAGGAAUAACCUUGCACUCUGCGGGGAUCCUCUGCCAAUGAAGUGCCCAGGCGAUGAUAAAGCUACUACUGAUUCUUCCAGGGCGGGUAAUGAAGAUCAUGAUGAUGAGUUUGAAAUGAGGUGGUUCUACGUGAGCAUGGGGCCUGGAUUUGUGGUGGGAUUCUGGGCAGUUUUUGGCCCUUUGAUAAUAAAUAGGUCUUGGAGGCGAGCCUACUUCCGGUUCCUGGAUGAGAUUAAAGAUAGAGUGAUGGUGGUUAUCACAGUGAAUGUUGCACGUCUGCAAAAGAAAUGCAAAGGGGAAAGAAGACAACAUGGAACUUGAACAGGUAUCCAUCCACAAGCUUUCAAACCAAAAUAACUGUUUCCAUAUAUCAGUGAUUUGCUUCAUGCUUAACCCUGAUCAUAUCAUACUUAAUUUGAUGGAGUACUCUGUAUUUGUUUUUCAGGUGGUGAGCUACUAAAUCUGAUUUGUCGGACUGAAGUUUCACCUGUCAUCUGUUGGGGGAUUGUCAGUUUUUUUUUUUUUUUUUUGUUUCUAAGGUUUGAAAUACGAGUUUUUAUGUAAACUCUCUAUUUAUAGCACUGUUACUCUAUUCUAAACUACCUCCAAGGUUUCUUGAAGCCCUAUAGAUAUAAAACAUAACCCUAAUAAAAUCUAUUAAGUUUGAAAGAUAUUGUACAUGGUUUUCCCUCAUCUGAAUAUACACUCUUAAAGUGUCUAAUAUCGGUUGGCACCUACAUCAUCCUUUAUGUCCUCCGACAUAUCAUCAUGCGCUCAUCCGGGAAUACCUCAAUUCAUGUUAAGGCUAACAGAUCACUUGAUCAUUUAUCCCAUCAACCCAUAGACGACGAAGCAUCUUGCCAUUUUAGCCCUGCACCUCUCAUGUAAAACUCUUUUUUAUUUUCGUUUUUGCAUUAAAUAAAUGGAUGGAUGGGUAAAUAUUUGAAAAAUCUUUUAAAAUAAAAAAUAAUAAGAUUAACUCAUGGUUAAAAUCCCAUUUCAAAUUAGAUGACUUAUAUGACAUUUUCCUCUUCGGUUGCCAUCUACUAUGUUUUAGGUUAUGUUUGGUUCCAGAAAAUGUGAAUAAAAAUGUAAGGGAAAGAAAAUAAAGAAAAAAAUAUGAGAAAAAGAGAAAGUGAAGGUAAAUAAAAAAAAGAUUUAAAGUCAAUAAAUGUCAUUUCAAACUCAUUUAACUUGUAUUAACUCUUCUAUAUAUAAAGUAAAUAAUUUAAAAAUAUAUAAAUGUCUAAUUGUUGUAAAACAAAGACAAAUACAAUGCAAAUCAAAGUAGUAGAGAUGAAAUAUAUCUUACUUUGAUUUAUAAUAGGGAAGAAGAAAUCAGAGAAGAGAGUUGAAAAAGUUGAGAGAAUGAAAAACAAAGAGAAUGAGAGGAAGAUAAUUUCUUUCUUUUCUCGGGAUGUAUAUUACAGAAGACGGGAAGCCCUUUUAUAGGCUUUCCAAAUGGCUUCCAUUAAUAUCCCCAUUAAUGAAUAUUAAUGAAACUCAGAAAUAACAUUAAUGGUUUCCAUUAAUGAGUAUUAAUGGAAGUCAUGAAUAAUACUUAAUUAACAUUAAUGUGGUGGCAUUUAUUACUACAAUUAUAACACUCCCUCUUAGAUGUCCACCACAUUGAAAGAAUAUGCCUCAUUAAAAUCUCGUUAGUAAAAAACCCUAUAGGAAAAACCUAGCGAAGGAAAAAGAGUACAAUAUUCUUUUCUUGGUAUAUUAGGACUGCCUCGUUAAAAACCUUGCCAGUAAAACCCAGUAGGACAAAACCUGGACAAAGGAAAAAAGAGUACAGUACACUAACACCCUUUUACAAGCAUACUCCCCCUCAUGUCGAUAUCCUUGAGUUGACACAUUCCAAUCCUGUGUAUUAACUUCUUGAAUGUUGAGGUUGACAAUGAUUUUGUGAAUAAAUAUGCUAGAUUAUCACUUGAGCGUAUUUGUUGCACAUCAAUUUCACUACUCUUCUGGAGUUCAUGUGUAAAAAAGAAUUUUGGUGAAAUGUGUUUAGUUCUAUCUCCUUUAAUAUAAACCCCCUGUUAUUUGUGCAAUACAUGCAGCAUUAUCUUCAAAUAAUAUUGUCGGGUCACCUUUGAUAGAGGAGAGUCCACAUGAUUCCCCGAAUAUGCUGGAUCAUAGAUCUUAGCCAUAUACAUUCAUGACUUGCUUCAUGAAUUGCCAGUAUUUCUGAAUGAUUUGAUGAUGUGGCCACCAUUGUUUGUUUGACAAAUCUCCAUGAAAUAGUAAUACCAUUGCAAUUAAACACAUACCCUGUUUGUGACCUACCUUUAUGUGGAUCUGAAAGAUAUCCUGCAUCUGCAUAUCCAAGCAAUUGUUGCUUUGAUUCCCUUGAGUAAAAUAAACUUAUAUCAGUAGUUCCGCGAAGAUAACGCAAUAUAUGUUUGAUACCAUUCCAAUGUCUUCGAGUUUGAGCGAAACUGUAUCUUGCUAAUAAAUUGAUAGAAAAAGCAAUGUCUGGACAUGUACAAUUGGCAAUAUACAUAAGUGCACCAUUAACACUAAGAUAUGGUACUUCAGGACCAAGUAACUCUUCAUUUUUUUUUGGCAAGGACGACAUGGGUCUUUUUUCACAUCAAGUGAUCGGACAACCAUUAGAGAACUUAAAGGAUGCGCUUUAUCUAUAUAAAAAUGCUUCAAAACUUUCUUAAUGUAUGUUGAUUGAUGUACUAAAACUCCAUUUGGAAAAUACUCGAUCUGCAAGCCAAGACAAAAUUUUGUUUUUCCAAGAUCUUUCAUCUCAAAUUCCUUUUUUUAAGUAAUUUGUUGUUCUUGUGAGCUCUUCAGGAGUUCCAACAAGAUUUAAGUCAUUAACAUACACUGCAAUAAUUGCAAAUCCGGUUUCUGAUUUCUUAAUGAAGAUGCAUGGGCAUAUAGGGUUAUUCACAUACCCUUCUUUUAGCAAGUAUUUGCUAAGGUGAUUGUACCACAUGCAUCCAGAUUGCUUUAAUCCAUACAAGGAUCGUUGUAAUUUGAUUGAGUACAUGCUACGAGGCUUUGUACUAUUUGCUCCAGGCAAUUUAAAUCCUUCAGGGAUUUUCAUGUAUAUAUCAUUAUCCAUGGAUCCUCAUAAAUAUGCUGUAAUAACAUCAAUGAGACACAUAUCCAGUCCUUCUGAGACUGCCAAACUAAUUAAGAAACAAAAUGUGAUUGAAUCCAUGACGGGAGAAUAUGUUUCCUCAUAGUCAAUACCAGGUCUCUGCAAGAAACCUUGUGCUACUAAUCGCGUUUUAUAUCUUAUGAUCUCAUUAUUCUCAUUGUGUUUUCAUAUAAAUACCCAUUUGUACCCAACAGGCUUUACAUCUUCAGGUGUUUAGACUACAGGUCCAAAAACUUAUCGUUUUGUUAAUGAGUUUAACUCUGCCUGUAUAGCUUCUUUCAAUUUUGGCCAAUCAUUUCUAUGUCAAAAUUCUUCCACAUUUCAUGGUUCGGGGUCUUCAUGAUUUCUUAUGACUUCAAAGGCCACUUGGAAAGCAAAAAUAUUGUUAAUAAUAAUAUUAUUUCGAUCCCAUUUUUCUCCCGCAUGUACAUAACUUACUGAGAUCUCACAAUUUUUAGGUACCUAUGCCUCUUCAAGGACUUUUUGUUCAAUAUGUGCCUCUUUGGGGGCUUCUUGUUCAAUAUGUGCCUUUUCAGGGCCUUUCUGCAUUAUUUGUGCCUCUUCUAGGGCUAUAGAUUUAUCAAUUUUAAACUGAUUAGUCAUUUUGAUGGCCUCUUCUAGAGUGCCAAGUUUUUCUUGGGUUCUCCUCUUUCGGGGAGUUACAUCCUUUGAGCCGACAGGUCUACCACGCUUCAGGCGUAUCUUAGAUUCAUUUGUUAACUGUCCUACAGGGACAUCAAUCCGUGUUGGAGUAUUUGUAGCUGGGAUAUGUGACUUUGUCACUUUCUUUGUAUCAAUGAAUGCAUCUGGUAAUUGAUUUGCAAGAUUUUGUAAAUGAAUGAUCCUUUGAACUUCUAGUUCACAUUGAUUUGUACGACGAUCAAGAUGGGUCAUAGUAGAUGCCUUCCAACUAAUUUCUCAUCGUUCUUCAGGAAUCGACUUUUCUCCCACUAAUGACGGGAAAACACUCUCAUUAAAAUGACAAUCCGCAAAGCGGGCUGUAAAAACAUCGUCUGUCAAAGGUUCAAGAUAUCUUAUGAUAGAUGGAGAAUCAAAACCUACAUAAAUCCCAAGUCUUCGUUGGGGACCCAUUUUAGUGCGUUGUGUAGGUGCAAUUGGUACAUAUACUACACAACCAAAGAUUCGUAAGUGAGAGAUAUUUGGUUGUUUUCUAAGCAUAAGUUGUGAAGGGGAGUAUUCAUGGUAAGUUGUAGGUCGAAUACGGACUAAAGCUGCAGCAUGCAUAAUAGCAUGUCUCCAGGCGAAAGUAGGUAAUUUGGUUUUCAUUAGUAAUGGUUGAGCUAUUAAUUGGAGACGUUUGAUGAAGGAUUCUGCUAAACCAUUUUGGGUAUGAGUAUGAGCAACAGGAUGCUCAAUAUUUAUCCCUACUAACAUGCAAUAGUCAAUGAAUGUUUGAGAAGUAAAUUCGCCAGCAUUAUCAAGAUGUAUUGUCUUAAUUGGAUAAUCUAGAAAUUGUGCUCGUAAUCUGAUUAUUUCUGCAAGGAGUCUAGCAAAGGCAACGUUACGUGUAGAAAGGAGACAAACAUGUGACCACCUAGUAGAAACAUCUAUUAAGAUCAUAAAAUAAUGGAAUGGUCCACAUGGUGGAUGGAUAGGCCCACAUAUCACUACAAGAAAAAAGCCUUUUGUUGACAGUUUUUCACCAUCAAGGUAGGGUAUAUCUGUCAAGGUAUGUUACUAUUUAUAUAUGUCAUCUAUGCCAAUGUCAAGAAAAGUUUAAAUCUACCUUGACAUUUACAUAUGUCAAGGUUGUUUCUAUUUCUACCAAUGAUCGAAUCUUUGUUACUAUGACAUAUGUCAAUCUUUCUUUCACUUUUGUCAAGGUUGGAUUCAACAUAUGUCAAGAUUUUUUUAUCAUAUGUCAAUGUUAACUUGAUCUUCUGUUAAGGUUGCUACAACAAAUGUCAAGGAUAAGUAUAAUAUGUCAAGGUUUCUAGCUAUUGCAAUGUCAAUGUUGGGCAUUGGCCAUCUGUCAAGGUUGCCUAUGACAAAUUUAAUAUUAUUUUACUAUAAUUUUUAGUUUUAAUGGAAAAUAAACUUGUUACCAUAUGAAACUUGUUUCCAAAUUAAAUUUGAUACAUAUUUAAUUAUGAUAAUAAUAACUAAGUCCUAAAACAAUUUAAAUAAACUAUUACUCAAGGGAAAAAAUUAUUAUAGAUACAUUUGAAUAUUAAAAACACAAUGGAAUAAAUCUUUUUCUACUUACUCUCUAUUUUCUAUAUACAAAAAAAAAACUAAUUACAAAUAUUCAAUUAAGAUAAUAUAUAAACUUGAAUUAAAAAGUACAAUACUAUCUUCGUAAGAGGUGAUCAUUAAUUCUUCAUCAUCUUCUUCUUUUUUGCUAUAUUUCUUGAAUACCUAGUAGGAUAGACACAUGUUAAUAGAAAAGUAAGCAACAAGUAUCAAAAUAGCAAUUUUCAAGUAUUAUAUUACUCAACAUGCAUUUUAUCAAAGGAAAUCAAAUGAAUAUCAAGGCACCCAAAGUCAAUAUCAAAUGAGGAUAUAGUUCUUAAUGACAUACAUUUUCAUUAAACUUUAAAAUGGGAAGAGAGAGAGCGUACCUAUAUAGUAAGCGUCAGUGAUUCUACAAAAAUGAGGUUAAUUCACCAAUAAUAAUGAUAAGAUUAAAGACUAAUAAAUAAAAAAUAACUAAACCUAUAUUCUUAAAGUGGCAAUCAUCUUCUUUGCAUGGUAUGGUUGCCCUCCAAAUUCAUCAAAACGUGUGGAUGCUUUUCACAAAAUCUGGUGGUGCCAUAUUCUUAAAGUGGCAGCAUUCGUUUUUUUUUUUUUUACAAAAAAUAAACUGAUGUGUAGUGGAGGUUCAAAGUGGCAGCCUUAUUCUCAUCCUAGUAGACCCAAGAAGAUUUAAUUUGCAUUCAAUGAAAGUUGUUGUUUGACGAAGUUUUACUGAUCUAUCAGUCAAUGAAGUGCUUGCAUUUUCAUACUUGCACUGCCACUCUGAAAGUUCCUCAUCAAUAAUAUCCCUAGCAACAACUACAAGUGUGAGUAAGCCUUGUGAUGAAUAUUCAAUCAAAUGGCUCUAAGUUGCCGGCCUUACAUGACUAUUCCUCCCACUGUCUUUUGCUAAAAUGCUAAACAUUUAAGAAUCAGCACCUUUCACUAAGACUUUCAUAGUAUCGUUGGGGAAUUUGAUGACAAUAGACAUUCUUUUGGGCACGCUAUCAAACUCAUGCAGACCCAAUAGAUCCAGACUGUGCAGAGACAAUUAAAACAGAUUGCCCAAUUAAAGCAACCCAUGGCAUUUCAGAUGUACUUCCAGGACCCUGAUUUAACAAGAGAGCCUGAACAGCAGCAAGGAUUUUCUGGUCUGAUGAAUCUUGAUCUAUUUUACUAAUUACACCGAUUUUUCUUGUACCAUCUCCAUCAUAUUCCUUAGCAAUUUUGAGAGCUCAAGAUAAAGCCAUUUCGGGUGCCUGGGCAGCAGGUACAAUAACCAGCAAAAUGGCAUCAUUGUGCUGAGCAUAAUCACUCACCAAUGUCUCAUCCAUAAUCCGUUGAUCCAAUCCAAGCAAAUCAACCAGUUUCAAAGGAGGUGUUGUACUAGUUCGUAGCUUCAAAUAUAUUUCAUCUCGGUUCUUGCCUGAGGCACCCUUACUCAGCCUGUCCUAGAGAGAAUGUCGAAGAGCACUUGUAGAAACUUGUUGAGAUUUGUUGGCAAUUUGUAAGAUGAUCGACUUGCUGCUUAGGGAACCAUAUUAGAGCCCGAGUAGCACCAUUUUCUCCCAUAGGCAAAACAGGAUGUCCAAUCAAAUUGUUCAAAACUGCAGAUUUACCAGCACCGACAUUUCCAAGAGCAACAACGUUAAGAAAAGUUGAACCCCUACAAGAAGAACUGGAACUCGAAUUCUCAUCCGCAUCUUCAUCCGCCAACAGCUCCGCGGCCUAGCACAUAGACCCUGACAGUUGCACAAGGUCAUCGAUCGCCUCCUAAGAUCAACCAAACAAUCCAACAAUUAAAUGAUCAAACCCUGGGUGAAUUCGGAAUCGAGAUCAAGGAGAUCGAAGCAAAAACUGGAAUAGACAAAAUCAAAACCCUAGGUUGAAAAUUCAACGAAGAAAAAAAAAUAAAAAAUAACAGAAAUCGGAGAUCUGCGUGGAUCGAGGUGCGGGAGAUUGGGAGACUUUGAGAUUCAGAGAAUCAAGAGGUUCUGGGAGAAAAAAAGAGUUGAAAUGUCAACGAAGAAGUCCCCUUAACUAAAGGGAAUUUCAAAGCAUCCGACUCCCACAAACCUGAAUCUUGAGAAGAAUUUAAAGAAGAUCCAUUGGAGAGUCUUUUGGGCUCUUGGUGUUUUCCACUCCAUAACCAUAAAAAAAGAUGGGUUAAUGACACAGACAUACUCUUACUCAGAUAUCGAUUUGAAUAAGAACAUAAUGAAUUUUGGGGCUAGAAAUUUAUGAAUAAUUAAGAUGUGGCUAAGACCAGAUAAUCGGAAACAAAUACGUUUCGAUGAGUAGUUUUUGCCUUAAAGGUCAAAACCUAGAAGAUUGCUUCUCAAAAUCAAAAACCUAAUUUCUCUUUCUACCACUCAAUAGGAACCAUCAAUCUAGAGAGAGAGAUUUUUCUCGAAUGGAGCUGGAUUGUUCUUCAUUUUUCAAAGCCCUUUUUUUUAGGUAAAUAAAAUAAAAUAAAAUAAGCAUUUUAAAAAAGAAAUGAAAAUAAAAUAAAAAAUAAAAACAUAAAGUAAAUAAACAAAUAAUAAUAAUAAUAAUAAUAAUAAUAAUAAUAAUAAUAACUUUAUGAAAAUCAAUUCAUGGAAUAUAUUUAUAACUUUUAUAAUGUCAAUUUUCCAUAAUUAAUUUUCUUCUUUCCUAAUGUCUAAAUUUGUAUGAGUUAACUUAAAAAAUAAAAUUUUGAAACCUGAUAUUAUGCCGAACAAUUGAUAAAUCAAAAUUCCAAAUAUCUUAAUUUUCAAGCUUACACAAAUUUAUUAAUUAUUUUUAAAUCAAAUACAAGUUAAUUACUAAUUUAAAAAUAAUGAAAAAUAGCUUAUGAAAAAAAGAUUAUAUUAAUACAAACUCAAAAAAAAAAAAAAUCAUUAACAUCAAUGAAUAAAAAAAUACUUUAUUAGUAUUGAUUUUAUUUACAUCCAGUUAUAAAAAAACCAUAAUGUAGCAAAUUUUAUUUCACUAAAAUUAGUGAAUAAAAAAUUAUGUACAGAAAUUUAUUUCAGUGCUAUUGAUAUAGACUAAAAAAUGAUAUAAUCAAUUUGAUAAAAAAAAAAUGAAAAUUGAUAUUAACAUUACUAAAAAAAUUUAUUAAAUAUUAACUUCCUUAAUCAAAAUUGAUUGUUGUCACUUCAAUUUAUAAUACUUAGUAAGUAAAUUAGAUAUACAUAUAUCAAACAAAUUAUUAUCAUUAUUGCUUUUAUUUAAGUACCUUGAAUACAUUGACUUAUAAAUUAUCUGUCAAGAUUCUAUUAUAUAAGUCAUGAAAGAAUUCAACAAAUUUUAUAUAUGUCAUUAUUGGUUUAAACAAGUUGUAUAUGUCAUAGUUGUUCAUUAAAAUAAGCAACAUUGACACAUAUCACCUUAAGUCAAGAUAAUAUAUGUCAACAAUGACCUUUUUUCUUGUAGUGUAUGUCCCCAUGUAUUCUUUCUAAAAAGACUGGUGACUCAGAUAUGACUUUAGUAAAAGAUGGUUUGAUUAUCAAUUUACCUUAUGAGCAGGCAGCACAUGAGUAUUCAUUGGGCGAAAGAAUCUUCUGGUUCUUUAGUGGAUGCCCAUGUGAGUGUUCGAUUAUUCGACGCAUCAUUGAAGACCCUGGGUGACCUAGCCUGUCAUGCCAAAGGAUAAAAACUUUUGGGUCGUUGAACUUUUGGUUCACGACAACAUAUGAUUCAAUAGGCUUUAUAGUUGUAUGAUACAACCCAAAGGAGAAAGCCGAGAGUUUUUCCAUUAUAAGCUUCUGGCCAGAUAUAAUGGAAAUAAUGUAAAGAUGUUCUACAUUAUCUUCAUUCAUAGUUUCAAUAUGAUAUCCAUUUCUGUGGAUAUCUUUAAAACUGAGCAAAUUUCUUCUGGAUUUGCUAGCAUAUAAAGUGUCAUUUAUAUUGAAUGUAGUUUUGUUUGGCAACGUUAUGUUUGCUCUUCCAGAGCCUUCAACUAAGUUUGUAGUACCAUAUAUGGUACUUACAUUAGCUUUUAUUAAUGUCAAUCACAGUCUGUGAGACAUACAUCAUCCUCAUUCAUCUUAAGACCAAAUAACACAUGGAUUUUAGAUAUAACUAAAAAAACAAGGUAUAAUGUAAAUAACAAAGUAAAUCAGAUGUAAAUAUAAGACAUAAUAAUAUAUUAUUUCAUAUAUAAAGUAACAUCAAUCAAUGUUAAUUUUCUUAUCAUUUAUUAAAUGGUCUGUUUUUUUCAUUGGGACCUCCAAAGAAAUCAAUGUCAUAGUAGGUUAGGUCUAAUCCAUCACCAUCGAUAAAAUUCAUCUCUAUCUCUUUUUUUUUUGCUUUUAUUGAUGCCUGGUAGAGGUCAACCAAAUGUUUGGGCGUAUGACAAGUACGCGACCAAUAUCCCUUCAUACCACAUGUAUAACAAUUAUUCUCAUGGUUCUUAGGAGGUUUAUCUUGUAAACGCUUUCCAGUUUCUUGUUUUGCCUUAGUAUUGUUCCACUUCUGGUGGUGCAAUGAGGCUUUCAUUUUAUGAGAAUUAUUACUAUAAGAAACAUGGUAUCGGGGAUUUCUAUCAUGACCAUGUCUUCAUCCUUGUCCACGUCCAUGAAUUUGGGACAAUAUUGCAUUCACUUCAGGGAAUGAUUCAGAUUCAAUUGGACGAGACUAGUGAUUUCUUAUCAAAAACUCAUUUUUUUUUCAAACCUUCAUGAAGAUGAUGACAAAGGAAAAUAAGUGUUUUUGCACAAUCCUAUAGGGAUGCUUGAUUUCCUUCUUUGAUCAUAGCUCCAAUAUUCAUUGCAUCAAGAUGUAUUUUAGCAUCAAGGAUCCAAGAUAGAUAGUUCUUUCCCGAAAUGUCAAGUGCCACAAAUUCGAGUUUUGUGAUAUUCGACAUUGUCAAAUAAUUUCAAAUAUAUAACAAAACAAUAUUAUUAGAAUCAUAAGAAAUUGAUAGCAUUGGUAUAAUUGAUUAUAAACAAAAUCAAAUAAUUUGUUUAUAACGUUUAACAAUAUAUAACAAAACAAAUCAACAAUAAUAUAAAUAUGUAAAAUUUUAUUCUAUGUAAAUAACUUCAAGUUUAAGAUACGAGAAUUACCUUCAGAGCAAUUCGUGCUGAUAACGUGUUGUAAAACAAAGACAAAUAUAAUGCAAAUCAAAGUAGUAGAGAUGAAAUAUAUCUUACUUUGAUUUAUAAUAGGGAAGAAGAAAUCAGAGAAGAGAGUUGAAAAAGUUGAGAUAAUGAAAAACAAAGAGAAUGAGAGGAAGAUAAUUUCUUUUUUUUCUCGGGAUGUAUAUUACAGGAGACGAGCAGCCCUUUUAUAGGCUUUGCAAAUGGCUUCCAUUAAUAUCCCCAUUAAUGAAUAUUAAUGAAACUCAGAAAUAACAUUAAUGGUUUCCAUUAAUGAGUAUUAAUGGAAGUCAUGAAUAAUACUUAAUUAACAUUAAUGUGGUGGCAUUCAUUACUACAAUUAUAACACUAAUUAAUUUUAAUUAUAUUUGUUUGUUUGUUUUUUUUUUUUUUUGUAUUUUUCAUAAUAAAUCGAAAUAUAAGAAAAUAAUUUUUCUUAAUAUUUUUUUCUUUCCUUAAUACUUUUUUUGAAAUAAAAUAUAGUUCAAGGAAAAUAGUUUUCUUGCCUUAGUACUUUCUAAAUUUUGCUUAUUUAACCCUUUAAUUGGCUCUUGAGGUGUAUAAGUCUUAAAGGAAAUUAAGUUGAUCCAAAUCGGUGAUUUUUGGAAUAAAAUUGUCAACCUAACUAUUGCAUUAACAUUAAUCUACUAACCGUUUCCCAACACAAUAUUAUUGUGUCAACGAAUGCUUUAAUCUAAAUAAUAUUAAUUCAAAAACACAAAGAUAAAAUAAUUCAUAUAAGAUACAUGAUGUUUUAAUGUAGUUUGACCAAACAUGCCUACAUUCAUAAAUGAGAUAAAAUCAUUCCACUCCUUAUAUUUAUACCCUUAACCAUGAGUUCUUUCGUUCUACCAUGUAUCUAGCUCUCAUUUUUCUCCAUAUCUUUAUCCACUACAUAUAUAUUGUCUUUAUAAGUCCAUCUUCAUCUCAUAACUUUUCCCUCUUAUAACCUAGAAUAUUUGUAAACUUAAUAAUUUUUCUUAUUAUAUAAGGAAACUAAUAUUACAAUGACAUAUGAAUAUAAAAAAUAUUUUAUAUUAUAUUUUUUUUUAUAACAAAGAAUCUAUAUCAAUUAGUAAUUUGAGACAAUUCCCAACCUCAUUGGUUGACAGAUCGCUUGAUCAUCCAUCCCAUCAACCAAGGAUAAUCAAGCAUUUUGCCCUUCCUAUGUUUCAAUUUUUCCUCAUGUGAAACUUUUUUUUUUUUAUUAAAUAAAUGGGUUGUAAAAUAUUAACUUGAAAUAUUUUUUAGAAUAAAAAGCAAUAAGAUGAAUUUAACCCAUUUUAAAUCAACUUAAUUCUAUGAGAUAAUAUAAAUAUUCAAUGCAAAUACAACCAAGUUAGCUCUACAAUGAAAAAUAUGUAGUAGACAUUUAUAAUGAGUCAUUGUAAACAUAGGGUGUCGCUACAACAUAGCUUCACUUUAUCCAUUGACACCAUAGAGGGUACCAAUUGGUGACAUAUUUGGAAGCGACACCAAAGCAGAUAAAUAGUGACACAUUCAGAAGCGACACCAUAUAUUUUUAGUGAUGCUUAAAUAUAAGGUGUCGUAUUAAAUGCAUAACCUUUGAGUUAUGGUGUCAUGUUAAAUGAAUCACCUUAUGGUGUCACAUUAUUGCAAAUGAUUAUGGAAGAUAUGGUUGUUUUUAGUUGAUUAGCCUGUUAAUAAAUAAGAUCAACCUGUGCAUGUUUUGUCUAUAAAUAUAAUAAUCAUAUCACAUUUAACUUAUAUUUUCAUAAUGCUUAUGGAUUAACUUGUAAUACAUUACAUCAUCUAAUAGUUGUAUAUCAAAUGUACAAAACGAUAGUACAUCAAACCCACCAAAACUAAAAAAGAAAAGUGAAUGCACAUUAAAACAUGAUUUAAAAAUGUUAAGCAUCCCAACAUUCAUGUAUAUUUGCAUUUCAUAUGCAUAAAACCGGCUAACCAUAAAAUGACACAAGAGUUGGAUCCAAAAACCCAAAAUUCUCAAUACCAAAUAAAGUAACGUUUAUGUUCUAUAAUGUAUGACAUAAGAGUCACAUCUAAAAACCAAAAAUCUUGUUACCUCUUUCUCCUUUCUUUUUAUUCUUCAUACUAUCCUCCCAAGAGUGUAUCCUACAUUUCAUAGUUUAAUGAGUUUUAGAGUUCUUAUUGAAAAUAAAAAUUAAUUAAUGUUAUAAAAAAAUAAAAAAAUCUAAGUACUAAUGUUUUCUUUUUUCUUUUUCCCAUUUUGAUAUAAAAAUAGUUCGUAAAGAAUAAGUAAUAUCAUACAACUAAGGGACUCACCAUACAUGAUCACGAUACAUCAACAUGAUUCAUGAUUAGUCAUAACAAAAAAAAAGUCAAUUAUCCUCUAAUUUCAUCAAAUUCUACUUAAGAAUAUGUUUUUUUAUCAUCAAAAUGAAAUCAAAUGAGAAUAACAUUAAUAUCACAAUAAUUGAAAGUAUGAAACUAUGUACAAUUCAUUAAAUGAGUAAAACCUUUAAUGCAAUAACUGUAGAAUCAAUAAUUAUCUCUUUAAUGAAUCUCAUAACAAAGUAGUCACAUUUGAACUUAAAUAAAAACAAUUCAAGAAAAUAAAAAAUAAAUCAAAACUACGAAAUCAAAAUAUAAAUCUAAAAUUUUAGAAAAUACUAAUCUUCCACUUAAAAUCUGCACUUUUUAAAUUUAUUUUUUAUAUUUCAUUAUGCUUUUAAAAAUCAUUUUUAACAUUUGAUUCUUUUUAUAUAUAUGUUUUUAUUUCUUGGAAGGAUUUUCUUAAUUUCAAUAUUUUUUUAAUGUUCAUUUUGUGAAAUAACAAUGUCCAUUAAAUUUCAUCUCAAUUAUAUAAAAUAAAAUUUUAAUAACAAAAUAUAAAUAUGUUUUCAACUACUAAUAUAAUACAACCUGAUAUUAUAACAAGCAUAAAAAUUGUGUAUAUAAGACAAAAAAAACCUAAUUCAUUAUUAAAAAAUGUUAAGAGAAAAAAUAGUAUGAGAAAGAAUUAAAGAACUUUUCAUAAAAAUUAUUGAUUUUUCAAUCAUAACUCCAAUUGAUAUUUCUUUUUUCUAAUUAAAAUAAUUAAUAAAAAAAUUUGGAUAUGAAAAAUAUGUUCAAAUAAAAAUAAUAAAAAAUUAAAAACAUCAAAGGAAAAGAUAUUCAAUAUUUUAAAUUUUUUACUUUUAAUAUUCUUUAGAUCAAUAAAUUAUCAAACAUCUUUUUCAAAAAAUAAAGAAAAAUGAAGAAAAGGAAGAGCUUUAUGGAAGAAAUUGGAAAAAACUUUGUAAUAAAAGGAUUUUAUAGAAAUUUCCUAACCUUGAAAGGAAAAUUUCAUCAUCAAUUUCAAAUUACUCCAAAGUUUGGUCAAUUCAUAUAAAAACAAUAAGAAAAAAAGGCAAAAAUAAAACAUAUUUUUAGAAUCCUUUUGUGGGAGAUGACAAUAUUGAGAAUAAUUUUCUCAAAAAUUAUUUUCCAAAUAUGACCAACCAAUAUCUUCUUAGAAAAUAAACAAACAGUCUGAUUAAAGGAAAUUUCAUUAAAAAUCAAAAGAAAAUUAUAAAACAUCUUCUUAAAAAAAUAAAUAAAUAAAGAGAGUUUUAUGGAAGGAAUUGGAAAAGUUUAUGUAAUAAAAGGAUUUUAUAGAAAUUUUCUAACCUUGAAGGGAAAUUAUAAAUUUUGGUCAACACAUAUAAGAACAAUAAGAAAAGAAGUUAAAAACAAAAAACACAAAAACAUAUUUUAAGAAUAGAAAAAAUAUGAAUAGAACAAGAUGAGAUAAAAAAUAUAAAAAAAAAUCAAAAUAUAAGAUUUGCUCAUUUUUAUAAUUAUAAAAAUUUUCAUUCCUAUUUAAAUUUUAAAAAACAAUUCAUUUACAUUAAUAAAUAAAAAAUCAAAUUAACUUUUCAUUGUUAAUUCCAACAUUCCAAACCAACUCCAACAUGAUAUGAAAUAUAUUUCAUUUUUCCUUUUGUGGGAGAUGACAAUAUUAAGAAUAACUUUCUAAAAAAUUAUUUUUCAAAUAUCACCAGUACAUAUCCUCAUCACAAUAUACUAUAAUAUUCCUAGAAAACAAACAGAAAGUCUCAUCAAAGGAAAUUUCUUGUAAAUCAAAAGAAAAUUUCAUAUUGUAAAAUGUUUAUCCCUCAUUCUGAGUAUGAAAGUGAUCGCUUGGAUUUUUUCGUUGUUUGUUGGAUCAAAACAAAAUUUAUAACCUAAUUCACUAUUCUAGAGUAGCUUGUACUCAAUCAAAAAUGGUUUUAGUACAAACUACCGUAGUAUAGUGGUUUUUAGGUGUUGUCCACUAUGAUGGAUUAUUCUCGGUAAUUAAGGCUUGAAUGAGAGAAUAAGAAAUGGUUGUGGUCAAGUGAAAUUGAUUUGAAAAUUCAUGAUGAAAAAUCAAUUUGGCAAUGGUCUAAAAUUGGGAAGAAAAAUAAAAGAAAAUUAAUAGGAGAUGAAAUUCUCGGAGUUAGGAUUUUCUAGAAAACAAUUUCCAUGGUGAAUAGAUGUUGAGAUCUAAUUUUCAUCUAAACCGAUUUUUUAUUUAGCUUUAGGUUAGAUCUAAUUUCUCUUCAAAUUAGGUCAUUUAAUCUAAGAUAUCAAUUCAAAUCAUAUAUUCAAUUUAUCUUAAAUUAUCUUCUAUUGAUUCACACAAUGCAACUAUUCAAUCUCAUCAAAUCUAACUUUAAAAAUGUGAUGAAUCUACCUAGCUUGCAUUGUAGUAAUCAUCCAAGCAAUUUGAAGAGAAAAAUCCUCAAAUUUCAAUUAAUCAAUCAAAUUACCUUUGCAAUUCAAGCUCAUUUCUUUAAUUCACCAUAGAUCUUGACUCUAGAUCCUCCCUCAUUCGAGAAAAACGAGAUUUAGCCACUCAUGCUUGGAGAUUUGGUCUCACAAGGCAUGUUUGGCUAGUGAGAAAAUGAAAGAAAAUGAAGAAAAAUAGAAAAUUCUAUAGAGAGAAGAAAUCUGGAAAGUUCUACAAUUAGAAAUGUAUCAAAAGUCUAAAAAAUGAGUAAAUCAACUUUCUAUUUACAGGCCAAGGGCAAGUGGACACUUGGCAUCAUCCAAGAGGUCUUCCGGAGGCUUCUUCAUCAAGAAAUCUGGAAAACAUGCAAUUUCGAAUGAGCUCCAACAAUUUCGCACGACUGUGCGAAGUGGAAAACGCAUCAGCAACAAUUUUGCCUUCCUAGAGCAUUUUGCAUGACUGUGCGAAAUUUUCGCAUGGUCAUGUGAAAUCAGUUUUUAGUUUUUCCUUUGAGCUGCAACCAAAAUAGCUUUUUGGUCCAUUUUGCACGAUUGUGAGAAUUUUUCGCAUGUUCAUGCGAAAUUGAAAAACAUAGUUUUUCAACUCUUUUUUGCCUUUUCUUCCAUUUCUUUCUCUUGAUUCCACUUCAACCACCUCCAAAUCAACUCUAAUCUCAGUCCAAACCAAUUACAUUACUUCUUUCAUUGUGCAUUUGGAUCAUCAUCAACUUUAUUUGUUCUCUUCAAUUUGAUUCAUCUCUUUUGGCCCAAAUUUAUCAAAAUCAUACCUUGAAAUGACUCCAAAACUUCAUAAAACUUGUUAGUAACUCUUGCAAGGGAAAAAACAUGUUAAUUGAGUGUUUUAGGCAUAAUUACUACUAAAAAAAUGUGAAACACAUGAGAAUUAUUAUCUAAAAUAUGCUCUUUUUGAGUAGUAAUCAGAAAUAUAUUAAAAAAAUCAUUCAUUUAUCUUAUUUUCAUUCAUUUUGGGGUUUAUGGGUUUAACAAUGAAACAAAAGAUAUGGUGGAAUGUUAAACCUAAUUUUUACUUUCCUACAACUCAAUAAAAAAAAACAUUAUUUACACAAUCCACAUGACAGAUAUACCAAAUCAAUGAAUAUAAAUCAAUUGUGUUAAUAAAGAUUUUCACAUUAAUAAAAAAAAUGAAAAUGAUAGAUCUAAGAGAUUUUGGGUUACCUGAGAGUCCAAGAAGUAGAGAAGAAUAGUUGUGUGUUAACUAUGGGUGUGAGAAGAUGUAGAAAAAAAUUAUGGUUAGGGUUAUGGAAUGAGACUUUCAAUGAAUAUAAAUCAAUUAUGCUAAUAAAGAUUUUGACAUUAAUAAAAAUAAAAAAUAAAAAUCAUAGAUCUAAGAUAUUUUGGGUUACCUGAGAGUCCACGAAGUAAAGAAGAGUAGUUGUGUGUUAACUAUGGGUGUGAGAAGAGGUAGAAGAAAAUUAUGGUUAGGGUUAUGAAAUGAGAUUUUUUUUUUUGGAUUGUGGGUAUGUGGAAAUAAUGAGUUUUUUUGUAUACUAUUAUUAUUCUCAAAGUGGGCCCAUUAAGUUGUAGUAUUUUAAAAAUUUUAUUUUAUAUGGUGUUACUUUUCAAAAACUGACACUAUAAACUUAAAAUCAAUAUCAUCUAUCUUAAUUGAAAAUUUUUAUAUGAUGUGUCACCUUUAUGGAUUUUAAGUCAUAUGGUGUCAUUAUUUUAAAAGUGACACCAUAAAUAGUGACACAAUAAAUUAUUUUUGUAGUUGUUGUUUCAUACAUUUCAGUCACAUGGAAAUUACAGAAACACCCAUACCUUUCAGUUGAUAUAGCUCAUUUCUCAGCUAAUGAUAUAGUCCAUAGUGCAUCAACCAGAGAUGGAUCCAACUCCUUUCUAGGAGGGUCAACAACAACUACACCUGAUCCCACUAGCCAAGAAAAAGGUCAUUGUUCCAGUUCAAUGAAUGAAACUCUUAUUGUAGGCUGAAAUAUUUAUAAAAAAGAGAAGUCAAAAUUUAAUUUUCAAUAAUAUUGCCAGCUUAUCUGACUUUAGUCGCUAGUAAUGUAAAAGAAUAAAAAGAAAAGAAUAAAAAAGUAGGAGAUAUCCGUAUGCAUGAGCUCCAAAGGAAAAGUCAGAGGGUUAUUUGUGUUUUUGUUUGUAUGUGUGUGUGUGCAUGUGUAUGUAUGAGUGAAAAUGUUUGAGGUUUUGAACACUAACAAUUGAAGUGUCUGCAUGAUGCCAACUGAUGGUACCAUCUAUUUACUUUGGUAACCGGUCAAAUGUCUUCUCAAAAGAUAGUUUUUCCUCUUUAUCAAUCUCAAUGCAUUUAACAAACCUGGAAAACAUGAAUAAUUAACUUGGAAUUAAUAUAUCUUCUAGUUGGACAUAAGAAUGAGACUUCCAGAGAACUUGAACCAUUUGAGUUCUUGCCUGCAUUUUUUGGUGGUAGCUAAUGAUAAUCUAAUGACACUAGCUCUGGGACACAAAUCAACAACUCUGGCCCAUAUAGGACAUACUUUUUUAACUUAAGAAGCAAUGAAUCAAAAUCCUGAACAAAAGCAGCAGACCAGCAACAUACAAGUAGGAUUUCUCUCAAGGAACAUAAGAUAUAAUCAAACAUCUUACGUUAGUGAGCUGCAGUUGUGUCCUAUGUGAUGCAAGAACACAAAAAGGAACACAGAACUUGGGUGCCCAAACAAGAGGCAAAUAAAAUUGGAGGCUCCUAGCCUAGAAAUUCCAUCAAUUAAUUGCAUCAAAAAUGGAAUUGUACAUUCUCAAGGACUUGAUGUCCCUCACAUCCUGAAAUGAAUUAUAAUUUAAUGAUGAUUGAUAAAUAAGAUAGAAUAAAGACGUUCCUAUCAAAGGUGAAAUCUAAAAUGCCACGGUUGUGGAAGAAGUCAAUGACGUCGUCAAGAAUGAUUGGACGGUGGAGGUUGACCUCUUGAGUACAACGAAAGCACCUGUAAAAACAAACAUUGGAAAACAAAUUGUACAAGUGAGUAAGUGGAGAAAAAAAGAGAAAGGGGUUUUGUUGACCAAUACGAAUCUUCUUGUUGAUCAAUACGAAUCUUCUUGUUUAUUGUUCGUUGAAAGGGUUACAUUCGUCUCUAUGCAUUAAUUUGGAAUAUGCUGGCUAAACUUGAUCACCAUUCCAAAUGAUUGAAGUUUCUCUCAGCCUUUUAUAUUUCUGCGUGCCUUGGGUUAUGUGACCUUUUUAUCAGCCAUCAUAUCCUUAUAUUAUGUCACUAUGAAUAGAAUUCAGGUUUUGCUGCAAGGUGACGCUUCUAGAGAUCAUGACUCAUGUCCACCAAGGGUGUUCAAACAUCAAAUAUAGUUGUGGAGACAGGGUGGAGAUUAGGUCUGGAUGUUUGAGGCCUAUACACUGAGUCUCUACUUGGAAUUGAAAUAAUUAUUUUCGGAGUUAUAUAUUCUUGGGAGAUUUAUGAUUACUACUCAAAAAGUGCUAUUUUGUAGCUUGUAAUUAAUCCUUUUAAACACUUUUGAGUAGUAGUUAUUGCCUUUUAACUCAAUUAACAUGUUAAGGACCCUUGCAAUCAUUUCUAAUCAAAUUGUGUAAGUUUUGGUGUUUUUGUUAGUAAUUUGAUCACCAAAGCAAUCCAAGAAUGAGGGAGAGCUGUAUAUAGUUCAUGGCAAAGCUUUUGGAAGCUCAAAUUCAUGAAGAAACCAAGCUUUGGAGCCCCAUAUCCCUUUGCCAAAGUCGUUCAAAGUAUGCAAGGAAAGAACAAUGGAGAAGAGGAAAAACAGAGUGAAGAAAACAGAGGAAAGCUAGCUGCAGUCUUCUUUUGCACUUUUGGAGUACUUCCCGAAGUCCAUUUUCUACAUUCUAUAUACCAUUUCAAAUCUCAGGAAGUCAAGAAUCCAACGCUUCAAACCGUGUAUGAUUUGGAGCUGAAAUGAGGAAGUUACAGCCACUGCAAGUCAAUCACUCUAAAGUGUUGCGGAAUCAGCCUUUUGUUGCGAGAAUUUCGCAGCCUUUUUGUACAGUGCUAUGGAAUUCCUCCUGAAGCUACCCGAUACAUGCCGCAACCUGGAACGUUGAGAAUCUCAAGGUGGAAGCCAAUUUCGCAGCCCUGCGAGUUUAACUUGUUGUUGCGAAAAUAUUUCACAGCCCUCUUGAGUGUUUGCGAAAUCUCGCAGACACCAUUUUCACCUGCGAAAUGGUCCUUAAUGCUUCCCGAUAUUUGCCACCGACUCUUUUGGAUAUUUUUAUUCAGAUAUUUUUGUAUAAAUUUCCAUUCUUCUCCUUGUAAGCCACCAACCAUAAGAUUUCUUAGUUAGGAAGGUUGGAAAAACGUCUAUAUAUAUAUUCCUUUGCAUCCACUGUAAACAUCAUCAUAUAUCAUAUAUAGAAUAUACAGAGCCUUGCUCUGUUUUUCCUUCUCUUUCAUUUUUCAUUUCUUUUUCUUUCUAGCCAACCAAACUCUGAGGAUUUUUCCUCAGAGGAUGAGAGGCUAAGCUUUUUGUCUCUUGGAGUGAGGAAAGCCGGGUAAGUUUCCACAUGCAUAAUUUGGAAGUUUUGUUGUUUUAGUUUUUAAUGAAGAGAAAGUGUGACCCGUUAGUGAUUUCUAUGUUUUUAGUUAACUUAAAACACCUUAGAGUCACCUGGGCCAACACUUGGUAAGGCAAGUGAUUUCCAACCAUGGAAAUGCACUAGUUUACCCCUUGCGAGCCUUUGGGAGGUGACUUGAAGGUAGGAUUUUCUGGAAUUGCCAACACUUGGUAAGCUUUUGGACUCCAAGGAGACAUCCAUUAGUUAUCUCUUGCGAGCUUGAGAAGGGAAGUCCAAGGUUAAAGAUCUCCUUGAAUGGUAAGUGCUCGUGAGAGGCAUGAACCAUUGCAAGUUGCAUCAGUGAGAGGGAUUUAGUGUUUGAACCCAUUAAUGGGAAGCAUCUGUACAACACCGGUUAGAGAAUUAACUAUAAGUUGAAUCUCUAAUGCGAGGAAAAGAAACAAGUGACCGGAAUCUCCAUUUUGUAUGAGGAAUCUGAGCCUAGUGAUCUGAACUCCAAGAAACAUCUUUUCUUUAUAAGUAAAAUCAGUUACUAUUUGUGGUUAGUUUAAAACCAAACCUUUUUCUUUCAAACAUCUUUAUGUUUUCUUUUAAAGCUAACCUUGAAAUGAAAAGGCACCAAUUCAUAUUUGAAUUAAUAUCAAUUGUGAAGUGAAAACCCAUCCCAGUGAACGAUCCUAGAGCCACUAUGCUAUAGUAGCUUUGUCUUUGCUACUCUAGUAAAUGGUGUAAUAGGUUAUAAAUUUUGUUGAUUACUCCCUCAAUCAAGGAGCACCAGUUGGACACAAAUCAGCUGAGACACCAAGUGGGCACGAAUCAAAUGGCGCCGUUGCCGGGGAUCGAACCUCGAAUCAAAUGGUGCCAUUGCCACUGCCACUGCUAGGGACGAAUCAAUUUAUUCCUAUUCCUUCUCUUCUGACAAGUAAACAAGGCCUAGGACUCUGCCAAUAUUGAAGCUUUAAUUGUAAAAUAGGUUUGGCUGAUAAUUCAUGCUACUAACACAAUAUUUAAAAGCAAUCAAGAUCAUAAGAAAUAAUUCCCAAACAUAAAUUUAUUUGUGUAAAUGACAGGUUUACAAUUGAUGAGAAAUGAUAUUUUCAACAAGUAUUUUUUUCAUCUUAAAGCAUGUUCCCAGAUUUUCUUCAACUACCACAGUUUUUUUCAAACACCUACACCUUUCUUGCUAGACGGGCAACAUUCAGAGCCACAACCAGAAUGAGCCUAUCUUUCAUUUUCUCGACAAAACGAAAAUAAGCAUACCGCCAUGACGUCUUGAUUAUCAAAGUGCCACAAACUCCCCAGAAUCCUAUGAUGAAUCCCAGUCCCAUGCUAACAAAGAACCAUGACAAUUCAAAGUCAUCUCCAUCUUCAUCAUCAUUGUAUUCUCCUUUCCCAAUUGGAAUUGUUCCAUUGUUGUCAUGGCACUCUAUCGUUAGAGGAAAUCCACAAAGUGCGAGGUUGCCUUGGUAAAUAGACAGAUCAAUCAAGGUUUGAAACUGGUUGUCUGUUGGGAUUUUCUUGUUGAAUUUUGAAUUUUGCCUUAGUAUCCGUUGGAAUUUGAAUUUUGAAGUUAAAUAUUGGAGUUGGAGUCUUGCACAAAAUCUGUAACAUCCAAAUAUUUUCUUAUUUUUAUUUGGUCAAGAUUUGGUUUCUAUUUUAUAAGAAGUAGUUGUUCAUUAUCUAGUAGCUUGAUUUUCUGCUAUUCUAAUGUCAUUUCAGUUACAAGCUCAUGUAUAAAUUCAGCAUUCUUCAUCAAUAAAAUGGGUGUUCCAGCAGCCCAAAAAUAUAUAUUAUGCAUAAGUGUUUAAUCCUAGAUCAACAUUGUGGUAUCAGAGUAGAAGUUAUCUUAAGGGGUCAGUGAGUUGAGUGAGCCUGAAUACCUUGAGAGUGCCUAAACAUCUAAAGACCCCAUAAGGUGAGUGAACCCAAAACACCACGAGUGAACCCAAACACCUUCUAAAAUCAUCUAGUAAUGGAGGAGUCAAGUCUCACAACUGCACCAUCAAUUCUUGAUGGAGACAAUUAUGAAACUUGGGGUGUUAAAAUGAUAGUUCAUCUACAAGCACUUGAUGUUUGGGAAGCAAUGGAAGAAAAUUAUGAAGUUCCUCCCCUGGGAGCCAAUCCAACUGUGGCUCAAAUGAAGUUGCAUAAAGAAAGAAAGUCAAGAAAGGCUAAAGCGAAGGCUUGCUUGUUUGCUAUAGUUUCACCAUCAAUUCUCAUCAAAAUCAUGAAAAUUGAUUCAGCUGCAUAAAUUUGGGAGUAUCUCAAGGAGGAAUACAAAGGAAAUGAAAGAAUCAAGAACAUGCGGGUGAUCAACUUGAUUCGAGAAUUUGAAAUGAAGAAAAUGAAGGAAUCUGAUGUUGUUAAAGACUAUGCUACACAACUUCUUUCAACAGCAUACAAUGUUAGGCUGCUUGGAAAAGAAUUUUCCAAUGAGAAGAUUCUUCAAAAGAUAUUGGUUACACUUCCUGAGAAAUAUGAAGCUACAAUUUCCUCUUUGGAGAAUUCAAAGGAUUUGUCAACUAUUAGCUUGAUAGAUUUUUUACAUUCCUUGGAGGCUGUGGAAUAAAGAAGACUCAUGAGACAAAUAGAUACUGUAGAAUGAGCACUUCAAGCAAGAAUGCAGAAAAAUGCAGGCCAUAAAAAUGAAAAGAAGCACAAGAAGAACAACAACAAGCCAAACAACAACAACCAGAAAAAUGGAGUUUUUCCAUCUUAUCCUCAUUGCAAGAAGACAAAUCAUUCUCCACAAAAAUGUUGGUGGAGACCAGAUGUGAAAUGCAACAAGUGUGGUAAACAAGGACAUGUGGAGAGGAUUUGCAAAAAUCAACAAUAGGAAGAAACUAGUGCAACAGUUGACUAAUGCCAAGAUGAGCAAUUGUUUGCAGCAAUGUGUGUUGCUAAUAAAAGCACCUUUGAAAGUUGGCUUGUGGAUAGUGGUUGUACAAACCACAUGACAAAUGAUCAAGAUCUUUUUACAAAACUUGAUAGAACAACUAUUUCCAAAGUCAGAAUUGGAAAUGGUGAGUAUAUUCUAGUGAAAGGCAAAUGAACGAUUGCUAUUGAAAGCCAAACAGGUUUGAAACUCAUUUAUGAUGUUUUGUUUGUGUCUGACUUUGACCAAAACUUACUCAGUGUUGGACAGCUCGUUGAGAAAUGAUUUAAAGUUUAUUUUGAAGAUAGGAAUUGCAUUAUCAAGGAUGCAAAAGGCAAAGAGGUGUUUAACAUAAAAAUAAAGGGCAAGAGUUUUGCCUUGAAUUUAUUGGAAGAUGAGCAUGCUACUGUUUUACAACAAGAUAGCACAACAAUGCUUUGGCAUAGAAGGCUUGGGCACUUUCAUCAUGAUGUUGUGCUCUACAUGAAGAAAAAUCAAAUAGUUGAAGAACUUCCUGACUUAGAAAAAAAUCUUUCUAUAUGUGCUACUUGUCAAUAUGGGAAGCAAACUAAACUUCCCUUUCCAAAGAAAACAUCUUGGAGAGCAACCCAAAAAAUACAACUAGUGCAUACUGAUGUUGGUGGACCUCAAAAGACGUCAUCCUUGAAGGGAGUAAGUACUACAUUACACUUAUUGAUGACUUAACUAAAUUUUGUUGGAUUUAUUUUUUGACCACUAAGUUUGAAGUAGCUGAUGUAUUUUAGAGAUAUAAGGUUAUGGUUGAAAACCAAAGCAAAUGCAAAAUCAAGGUUAUAAGGUAAGAUAAUGGUGCAAAGUACGCAUCAAAGAAAUUUAACAAAUUCUGUGAAGAUGUAGGCAUUGUUCACCAGCUCACUAUACCAUAUAAUCCACAACAAAAUGGAGUCGUGGAGAAGAAAAAUAGAAUGAUUUUAGAGAUGACAAGAUGCCUUCUGCAUGAAAAAGAUUUGCAUAAAAAAUUUUGGGUUGAAACUGCAAGUACAAUAGUAUAUUUUCUGAACAGAUUGCCAACAAAAGCGUUAAAGAAGUAGAUCCCUUUCGAAGCUUGGUUCAGUUAUUAACCUAAAGUAAUGAAUUUGAAAACAUUUGGUUGCUUAUGUUUCUCUUUCGUUCCUAAGGUGAAAAGGGACAAGCUGGAUAAACAAUCAGAGAUGGGAAUUUUCGUCAGAUAUAGUGACACUUCAAAGGCUUAUAGAAUUUACUUACCAAAAACUAAUAAAAUAGUGGUGAGUAGAGAUGUCAAGUUUUUGGAAACAAAGAAAUGGAGCUGGGAUGAAAAGAUGCAGCAGUAUAAUGAUGAAAAUGUUGAUGAGCUUCCAGUUAGAGGUACUAAAAAACUCUCUGAUAUUUAUUGUAAUGUUGUUGUCCUUGAACUAGCAGGGUUUGAAGAAGCAAUUGAAGAUGAAAAAUGGCAGGCUGCAAUGCAAGAUGAGGUGAAUAUGAUUGAGAAAAACAACACGUGGGAGCUGGUGGACAGACCUUCACACAAAAAACCUAUCAGAGUUAAAGAGGUUUAUAAAACCAAACUUAAUCUUGAUGGUUCUAUAAACAAGUAUAAGGCAAGGUUGGUUGUUAAAGGUUAUGAACAAAUGUUUGGUGUGGAUUUUUCUAAAACUUUUGCACCGAUAACUCGUUUGGACACAACUAGAAUGUUGUUGGAAAUUGCAACACAAAAAGGAUGGAGGAUUUAUUAGCUGGAUGUGAAGUCAGCCUUUGUAAAUGGCUAUCUAGAGGAGGAGAUUUUUGUUGAACAACCAGAAGGAUUUUAUGUCAAGGGAAAAGAAGAUAAAGUCUACCUUCUAAAAAAGGCCUUGUAUGGCUUGAAACAAGCCCCAAGAGCUUGGUAUAGCAGAAUUGAUGCUUAUAUGCUAACCUUAGGCUGUCAGAAGAGUUAGAGUGAAUUUACUCUCUACAUCAAGAAGAUUAAAGAAGAUAAUCUAAUUGUUUCUUUGUAUGUUGAUGACUUGCUUGUAACAGGAAAUAAUGUGGGGCUGGUCAAUGAGUUCAAGGUUGAAAUGAAGCAAGUCUUGGAAAUGACAGAUGAUUCAUUCCCAGCAGCGGCAGUGGCAAUGGCACCAUUUGAUUCAAGGUUCGAUCCCCGACAACGGCGCCAUUUGAUUCAUGCCCACUUGGUGUCUCAGCUGAUUCAUGUCCAGCUGGUGCUCCUUGAUUGAGAGAGUAAUCAACAAAAUUUAUAACCUAUUACACCAUAUACUAGGGUAGCAAAGACAAAGCUACUAUAGCAUAGUGGCUCUAGGAUCGUUCACUGGGAUGGGUUUUCACUUUGCAAAUGAUAUUAAUUCAAAGCUGAAUUGGUGUCUUUUCAUUUCAAGGUUAGCUUUAAAAGAAAACAUAAAGAUGUUUGGUUUUAAACUAAUCAAAAAUAGUAACUGAUUUUACUUACAAAGAAAAGUGUUUCUUGGAGUUCAGAUCACUAGGCUCAGAUUCCUCAUACAAAAAGGAGAGUUCCGGUCACUUGUUUCUUUUCCUCGCAUUAGAGAAUUAACAUAUAGUUAAUUCUCUAACCGGUGUUGUACAGAUGCUUCCCAUUAAUGGGUUCAAACACUAAAUCCCUCUCACUGAUGCAACUUGCAAUGGCUCAUACCUCUCACCUAGCACUUGCCAUUCAAGGUGAUCUUUAACCUUGGAUUACCCGUCAAAAGCUCGCAAGAGAUAACUAAUGGAUGUCUCCUAAGAGUCCAAAAGCUUACCAAGUGUUGGCUAUUCUAGAAAAUCCUACCUUCAAGUCACCUCCCAAAGGCUCGCAAGGGGUAAACUAGUGAAUCUCCAUGGUUGGAAAUCACUUGCCUUACCAAGUGUUGGCCCAGGUGACUCUAAGGUGUUUUAAGUUAACUAAAAACAUAGAAAUCACUAACGGGUUACACUUUCUCUUCAUUAAAAACUAAAACAACAAAACUUCCAAAUUAUGCAUGUGGAAACUUACCCGGCUUUCCUCACUCCAAGAGACAAAAAGCUUAGCCUCUCAUCCUCUGAGGAAAAAUCCUCAAAGUUUGGUUGGCUAGAAAUAAAAAGAAAUGAAAAAUGAAAGAGAAGGAAAAAUAGAGCAAGGCUCUGUAUAUUCUAUAUAUUGAUCGAUUGAUUACAUAUAUGAUAUCUGAUCUUCUUACAGUGGAUGCAAGGAAGUUUAUAUAGGAAGGUAAUUUACCCUUCCUUGGAUACUUUCUAGCUAAGGAAUUACAUGAGUGGUUGAAUACAAGGAGAAAAUGGAAAUUAUACAAAAAUAUCUGAAGAAAAAUAUCCAAAAGAGUCGGUGCAAAAAUAUCGGGAAGCUCUAGGAACAUUUCGCAGGUGAAAAAUGGUGUCUGCGAGAUUUCGCAGACACUCAAGAAGGCUGCGAAAUAUUUUCGCAACAACAAGUUAAACUCGUAGGGCUGCGAAAUUGGCUUCCACCUUGAGGUUCUCAGCGUUCCAGCUUGCGGCAUGUAUCGGGUAGCUUCAGGAGGAAUUCCAUAGCACUGUACAAAAAGGCUGCGAAAUUCUCGCAACAAAAGGCUGAUUUCGCAACACUUUGGAGUGAUCUGCUUGCAAUGGCUGUAACUCCUUCGUUUCAACUCCGAAUCACGCACCGUUUGAAGCAUUGGAUUCUUGACUUCCUGAGCUUUGAAAUGAUAUAUAGAAUGUAGAAAAUGGACUUCGGGAAGUGCUCCAAAAGUGCUCAUGAAGACUGCAGCUAGCUUUCCUCUAUUUUUUUUCACUCUGUUUUUCCUCUCUCCUUGCUUCUCUCCUUGCAUACUUUGAACGACUUUGGCAAAGGGCUAUGGAGCUCCAAAGCUUGGUUCUUCAUGAAUUUGAGCUCUUCAUUGCUUUGCCAUGAAAUAUAUACAAUUCUCCCUCAUUCUUGGAUUGUUUUGGUGAUCAAAUUACUAACAAAAACACCCAAACUUACACAAUUUGANNNNNNNNNNNNNNNNNNNNNNNNNNNNNNNNNNNNNNNNNNNNNNNNNNNNNNNNNNNNNNNNNNNNNNNNNNNNNNNNNNNNNNNNNNNNNNNNNNNNGCAUCACCAAGAUCUUUCAUCUCAAAAUGUUUUGAUAAAAAUCUCUUGGUGUCGUGCAAUAUGCUAAUAUCAUUUGUGGCUAGCAAUAUGUCAUCGACAUAUAAAACCAGGAAAAUAUACUUACUCCCACUGAAUUUGUGAUACACACAUUCAUCCAUAAGAUUUGCCUCAAAACCAUAUGAGACAAUAAUUUGAUGAAACUUGAAGUACCACUGACGAGAAGCUUGCUUGAGCCCAUAAAUGGAUUUAGUUAAUUUACGAACCAUAUUCUUUGAGUCUUCGGAUACAAAAUUUUCUGGUUGUUCCAUAUAAAUUGUUUCAUCAAUGUCACCAUUGAGAAACGCUGUUUUAACAUCCAUUUGAUGUAACUCAAGAUCAUAAUGUGCAACUAGUGCCAUGAUUAUCCUGAAAGAGUCCUUCGUAGAAACUGGAGAGAAGGUCUCUUUGAAGUCAAUUCCUUCUUUUUGAGUAAAGCCUUUAGCUACAAGACGUGCUUUAUAUCUUUCUACAUUACCAUUUGAAUCACGCUUGGUUUUAAAUAUCCAUUUACAACCAAUGGGCUUCGUACCAACUGGUAAUGGGACGAGUUCCCAAACUUUAUUGUCUUGCAUAGAUUUGUACUCUUCAUUCAUGGCUUCAAUCCAUUUCUGAGAGUUGGAACUUUUCAUGGCUUGCUGGAAGUUGAUUGGAUCAUCUUCCAUCAUUCCACUUUCUACCUCACGUUCCUGGAGAUAUACGAUAUAAUCGUCCGAAAUUGCAUUUCUCCUCUCUCUAGUGGAUCUCCUUAAUGGCAUAUUUUCUUGAGGUUGUUGAGUUUGUUCUUCAGGAGCAAUGUCCCCAUUUGCAAUUAAGGGGUUGAACAAUAUUGUCUGUUUGGUUGAGGAUCCAAAUUUACNNNNNNNNNNNNNNNNNNNNNNNNNNNNNNNNNNNNNNNNNNNNNNNNNNNNNNNNNNNNNNNNNNNNNNNNNNNNNNNNNNNNNNNNNNNNNNNNNNNNNNNNNNNNNNNNNNNNNNNNNNNNNNNNNNNNNNNNNNNNNNNNNNNNNNNNNNNNNNNNNNNNNNNNNNNNNNNNNNNNNNNNNNNNNNNNNNNNNNNNNNNNNNNNNNNNNNNNNNNNNNNNNNNNNNNNNNNNNNNNNNNNNNNNNNNNNNNNNNNNNNNNNNNNNNNNNNNNNNNNNNNNNNNNNNNNNNNNNNNNNNNNNNNNNNNNNNNNNNNNNNNNNNNNNNNNNNNNNNNNNNNNNNNNNNNNNNNNNNNNNNNNNNNNNNNNNNNNNNNNNNNNNNNNNNNNNNNNNNNNNNNNNNNNNNNNNNNNNNNNNNNNNNNNNNNNNNNNNNNNNNNNNNNNNNNNNNNNNNNNNNNNNNNNNNNNNNNNNNNNNNNNNNNNNNNNNNNNNNNNNNNNNNNNNNNNNNNNNNNNNNNNNNNNNNNNNNNNNNNNNNNNNNNNNNNNNNNNNNNNNNNNNNNNNNNNNNNNNNNNNNNNNNNNNNNNNNNNNNNNNNNNNNNNNNNNNNNNNNNNNNNNNNNNUGACUUCCUGAGCUUGAAAAUGAUAUAUAGAAUGUAGAAAAUGGACUUCGGGAAGUGCUCCAAAAGUGCUCAUGAAGACUGCAGCUAGCUUUCCUCUAUUUUUUUUCACUCUGUUUUUCCUCUCUCCUUGCUUCUCUCCUUGCAUACUUUGAACGACUUUGGCAAAGGGCUAUGGAGCUCCAAAGCUUGGUUCUUCAUGAAUUUGAGCUCUUCAUUGCUUUGCCAUGAAAUAUAUACAAUUCUCCCUCAUUCUUGGAUUGUUUUGGUGAUCAAAUUACUAACAAAAACACCAAAACUUACACAAUUUGAUUAGAAAUGAUUGCAAGGGUCCUUAACAUGUUAAUUGAGUUAAAAGGCAAUAACUAAUACUCAAAAGUGUUUAAAAUGAUUAAUUACAAGCUAUCAAAUAGCACUUUUUGAGUAGUAAUCAACAGACCUUGGAGAGAUGACUUAUUUCUUGGGAAUAGAAGUACAUCAGCAACAACAUGAUAUUUUCAUCUGUUAGAAAAAAUAUGCAAAAGAAAUAUUGAAGAAAUUCAAAAUGGAAGAAUGCAAGCCUACAUCAACUCUUAUGAACCAAAAAGAGAAGUUUUGUAAGGAAAAUGGUGCUGAAAAGGCUAAUGAAGGACUUUUUAGAAGCAUGAUCGGAUGCCUAAUGUACUUGACUUCAACAAGACCAGAUAUAAUGUACGUCGUAAGUCUACUUUCGAGGUACAUGCAUUGUGCAAGUAAAAAUAAUUUUCAGGCGGCAAAACGUGUGCUGAGAUAUGUUAAAGGUACAAUUGAUUAUGGUAUUAAGUUCAGUCAAGUUAAAAAUUUCGUUUUUCAUGGAUAUUCCGAUAGCGAUUGGACUGGAUGUGUUGAUGAUAUGCAAAGUACUUCAGGCUAUUGUUUUAGUUUUGGUUCUGGUAUAUUUUCUUGGAGUUCAAAGAAACAAGAAGUUGUGGCUCAAUCCACAGUUGAAGCGGAGUAUGUUGCGGCUAUUGCUACUAUUGCUACUAUAAAGCAAGUUUUAUGGCUUAGGAAGUUGCAAACAAAUCUAGACAUGAAGCAAGAAAUGAGUACUCAAGUGUUUCUUGACAACCAAACCGCUAUAUCUAUUGCUAAUGACCCAAUUUUUCAUGGUAAAACAAAGCACUUCAAGAUCAAACUAUACUUUUUGAGAUAGGUGCAGAAGGAAGGAGAUGCACAACUAGUCUAUUGCAACACGGAGAGUUAAAAUGCUGAUAUAUUCACUAAACCUCUUCCUAAAGCAAGGUUUGAGUUUCUACGUGGAAGACUUGGAGUUUGCAUCUACUAAGUCAAGGAGGAGUGUCAAAUUUUGAAUUUUGCCUUAGUAUCCUUUGGAAUUUGAAUUUUGAAGUUAAAUAUUGCAGAUGGAGUCUUGCACAAAAUCUGCAACAUCCAAAUAUUUUCUUGUUUUUAUUUGGUCAAGAUUUGGUUUCUAUUUUAUAGGAAGUAGUUGUUCAUUAUCUAGUAACUUGAUUUUCUGCUAUUCUAAUGUCAUUUCAGUUACACACUCAUGUAUAAAUUUAGCACUCUUCAUCAAUAAAAUGGGUAUUCUAGCAGCCUAAAAAUAUAUAUUCUGCAUAAGUGUUUAAUCUUAUAUCAACAUUUCCCUGACAAGUUAUUGUGAUAGAUUCAGGUGAACCAAAAAGGUUAUGGAAGCUAUGCUCAUUGGAAUUGGACCAGAAAGUUUGUUUCUUGAUAGGUCGAGAGUCUCCAACCACUACAAGUUUCCAAUCUUUUCUGGUAUAUUUCCCCCCAAAUUAUUGCUGGACAAAUUCAAGGUUCCCAAUUUCAGAAGGCUUGUUAGUUCUAUUGGAAUCUCUCCUGAUAAGCUAUUAUUGGACAGAUCCAGACUAUUCACAAGGUAGAGAGUGUUAUAGUAUUCCAAUGCUCUUCCUUUCGCAACAAGUUUCAAGCGUUCCUCAAACCGUUCUAGAUCAUCGUCGGAAAGUUCAGAUUUGAAGCCACUCAAGUUCCCAAAACAGGGAGGAAUGAAUCCUAACACAUGGUUGUGUGAGAGGUCCAGUAUGUGAAGCGCGGAAAGGGCACAGAUUUCUAAAGGAAUAUUACCGCUUAAGAAGUUUGACUGCAAUGCUAAGAUCAACAGGGAGGACAUGCUUUCUCCUAUCCAGGAUGGAAUGUUUCUAGAAAAUUUGUUAUCACCAAGAUCAAGGCUUUCCAAGGCACUGCAGUUUUGCAGAUAGGAAGGAAGUUCACCAAAGAGAUUGUUGUUGGAUAGCACCAAGAAUCUGAGUGUCAUGAGGGAACCCAAUGAUCUUGGUAUUGUACCUGAAAGGCUAUUGUUUGACAUAUCUACAAUAUACAGGGAAGACAUUUUGUUCCAGAACUGAGGAAUUUCUCUAGAUAAAUGAUUAUUGGAGAUGACCAAGGUCAUCAAAGCCUGUAGAUUACCCAUGGACAAGGGAGUGCUACCAUUCAAAGAGUUCCAAGAGAUAUCUAAAUCUAUCUGAAUAGGCAUUGCUUCACCAAUGUUCCGAGGAAUCGGUCCAGAAAACAAAUUAUCCCUCAGAUAUAGUGUACUUACAUUAGACGACCAGAGUGGGAGAGGACCAUCAAAGAGGUUUGAACUCAAAUCAACAUUGGCUAGGUAGUUGAACACUAAUGAGUUUGGAACUCUGCCACUUAAUUGAUUAUAAGCAAUGUCAAGUUCAUGGAGCGGCAAAUCUAACUUCAAUAACCAAUCCGGUAUAGUGCCUAAAAUUCUCGCAUUAUUAAGCACUAUGGUGGUCAACUCAUUUUGAGUUUUGAGCCAGGUAGGAAAUUUGGGACCCAAUUUUCAAGAUCUAAGGUUGAUGUAUGUGAGUUUGAAAGGAGGAGCCCAGUCAGAGGAGAUGUUGAAAACCAAAGAAACAUUUGGAGAACUUUUAGUAAUCGACAGUUGCUUUAAGCUUGAGAGAUUGGAAAAAUGAGCUUCUAUUAUGCCACCUUCCCAUGAAUUCUCAUUGAGCUCUAGCACGACCAGUGAUGAGAGUUCUCCAAGGCUGUCUGGGAUGAUCCCACUCAUUUGAUUCUACGAGAGGUACAAUUCCUGUAAAAAGGAUAAGCUCCCAAUUGAUUCUGGAAUUGAACCGCGAAAUGAAUUAGACCAUAAUUGAAGAUAUCUUAAAUUCUUAAGAUGCCCCAAUGAAUUUGGCAGGUUUCCAGUCAGUUUAUUGAAUCCCAAAUCCAGAUUCUCUACAGUGUUGUAAGAGCAUGCAGAUAAGCCAUCGAGGAACUCAGUUAUCUCACCAGAAAGUUUGUUAGCAGAAAGAAUCAAUGUCCGCAAAUAACACAAAUUUCCCAAUGUUCUCAGUAACUUGCCUUCAAUGUUCAAAUUAUUGGACAAAUCAAGUAGCUGGAGAGAAGUGAAGUUUUGGAAUGCAUCUAGGAGUCCACCUUAGAGGUUGUUGGAGUUGAGAUCGAGGUACACAAGGCUACUGAGAUUAGAUAACCAGUGAGGAAUAGUGGAGUCAAACCCAUUGUUUGAGAGAUGAAGAACGGAAAGAGAGGUAAAAUUGAGAAAUGGAAGAGAAAGAGAAAGGUUGGAAAGUUGACAGUUGGGCAUGUGCAACUCCAAAAGAGAUGGUAAAGUAUUAACGGUGUGGAGCCAGUAGGCUGCAGCCUUUCUGAGAUCAAUACCUCCCAAGUUAAGGUACUUCAAAGAAGAAAGGCCUGACAGUCAUUCCAGGCCAUUCUUGUUUGGUUCGAUAGAGUAUGUGUUGAGAUCAAGGUAGCGCAAGUUUGAGAGGUUUGCAAUAGUUGGAGGUAUGAUACCACCAAAGGAUGCUCCAGAGAGAUUGAGAUAUCUCAACUUCCCAAGUGAUCCAAUGAAUUUUGGAAUUUCCAUUCCUUCAAAAUUAUUCUUGUUGAGGUCUAAUAAUUCAGAUAUUUCAAGUUGAGCAAAGAAGGAUUGAUCUCACCGCCCAACUCGCUAGCUGUUCCAUCGCCCUACAAAUUGUUUGGGAAUGGGUUUCCAAGUUUGAGCUUGAUGACACGUCCAGUCCUGUUAUAGUAGCUAACUCCUCUCCAUUUACAACAGUCUUCUCUGACCCAAGAUGACAGCCGACCUGAAGGAUCUGUGAGGCCUUGUUUGAACUUGAGAAGUGCUUCCUUCUCAACUUCUAGGCAAUCCAUGUUCUGACUGGCAUCACAUGAGCUGAGUUUAAUUGUUCCUUGGGACAAAAACCCAGAUAGUAGGAGUGAAAGAAAUUGAGUAAUGACAUUGCACAUGAUUAUGUUAUGAUCAAAGUGUAAGAGGGAGAGUUUCUCUUCUAUCCAACAGAAUGCUGAAUUAGUCUACUUAUAGAACAAAUUAGGUGUCUGAGGGGAAGAUUUAGUUGGUUGAUGUGGUUAGGACUCUUGACAACCGCAUGGUGGUUGCUAGAAGUCAAUAUGGAAAUGCUUUGCCCUUUUUGAGAUGCUAGAAUGUGAACAUUCUUUUAUAGGUUAUGAUGUGAACAUUAGAAACUGUAGGAGGAAGAACUUUCUGAUAUCCUCAUCAGCUACCAUUUUGCCGAACUUGAGAACUCCAUUCCUAUUUGACAUUAUCCUGAUUGCUAUAGCCUAAAUUUGUUACUCAGUGGUAAUGUUAACUUCUCUAUACACAUGAUCUUGUCAAAUGAUAAACUACGACAACCGACUCCUGGUGGGGGUUGUUAGUAGCCACAAUAGUAAAAUUGAAUGGAGUAGGGAAUUUAAGCUGUUGAAAUUGUCCUUAAUGAAAAUGUCUCUAUCUUCUUUGUUUUGUUGUGUGGCCUCUUUGACACACUAAAGUCUGAACACAUGUGCUUUAAUAGAAUCUGUGACAAUGUCAUGUUCUAAGAGGAAGAAAGUUUUAGACUUUAGGCAUCUGGAGCUGCCGACCUUGGUUUAGGAACAUUUGCUGAAGUCUUGCUCCUAUUUUGGUUUUGGGAAAGACACAAGUUUAAUAAUUCAAAUAAAAUUAAAUAUGUCGAGAUAAAACAUCCAUUUCAUAUCUUCAUUUACUAUUUUAAACGAUUGACUUAUUUUACUCUGUAUUCCCAUUUAACACAAUUCUUACAAUUAUAGCCAAAAUUUGUUAUAGAAUCAAAGAUAAAUAUGUGCUUGUCUAUCAGAAUGUUUACUUAUCAUCUUGUUGAAAGAGUUAUUAAUUUCAUAAAUAUUUUGCAUGUCAUUAGAAUUACAAUUAUAUUUUCAUUAGUAGGAACAUUUUUAAAUCACUUUCAAUCUCCAUUUGCUUGAUAUCGCCUUCUUUUGGCGGUCUCUGACCAUUUCUCAAAUUGAUACUCUUUGUAGAUGCAUUACCCAGUUUUCUUGAACUAGUUAUGCCCACGAAAUCAAAACUAGUAUAACUCAAAAAAAUAAAAUAAAAUAAAAUUGUAUAGAGCGUAUAAUGACAUUGAAACACAUGUUGCAUUUGGAUGGUACAUGGAAAAAUCAAAUGGAUAUUUUCAAAUUGAUCCAUGGACAUGAAUUCACAAAGCCAUGUACAAAAUGAAGAAUAGACAAAUGCAAUAGUAUUAUUCAUAAAAAAAUAGUAUAGAUAAAUCAAAUGCAUUAUAUAUACAAAGCAUGUACAAGAUAGUAUUAUUUUGUCAUAUGGUGGCAAUUUCAAGUUGACGAAAUUGAGGGCUUGAUUGCUUCCAAUUCGAGCACGCGUAGAUCGAGCCUUCCCUGCAUUUCCUCUUAUGUCAACUAUGCUCGAUUACGGGUUUUCAAAAUUUCCUCUUGACAACGAUGGGCUCUCUCAUUCCUCAUCUAAUCACCAGCGUCCACAACGCGCCAUUGACUAUCAUCACAACUUUAAUAAUCAUCCAACCAAGUUCAUGGAACAUGGAAGGUUGAUGGAAUCCCAAUCCCAUCUAGAAUAUUUCUGUGAUUCUUCCAUAUUGAUCAAGGUCUGGAAUACUUCUACCCUCUCACUUAUCCCAGUAAUUAAUUUGAAUUCCAAGGUAAUUAAUUAAUCAUCAUUCACAUUUCCUAUAUACUUCUAGUUUCAUGUGUCAUCUGAAUAUUUGAGGUCAUCACCAAUGUUAAUUUUAAUUUUGGCUACUGUAAGAUAAUUUAUAGGUUAUGUUUGGUUCUUAGAAAAUAUUGAGGCAAAAAAAAAUAUAUAAAGAAAAAUGAUUUUUUUUAUGUUUGGUUGUCUUAUAAAAAAUAUUAAAGAAAAUCAAAUAUAAUUAAAACUAAUUAAAUAUUUACAUAUUUUUAAAUUAUUUAAUCUUUAUAUCAGUAAAUUAAAAUAAAUAAAAUGAGUUUUAAGUAACAAAUGAAAAUAAUUUAUCGACUUUUAAUUUAUUUUUUAUUUUCUUUCAAUUUUUCCUUCUUUUCACUUUUCUUUUAUAUUUUCUUCCCCUUACAUUUUCUCUCAAAUUUUUCAAGAAUCAAACAUAAUCAGAGUCUCAAACAAAAUUGUUAUAGAGGAUUUGAAUGGUUUUCUGGCUUGAUGUGACAAUUUUAUUUGAAUUUAGGUUUUCUUGGUGUGGUGGUUAAACAUUAUGAGGAAAGAAAUCAAACAAUGAAAAGUGUGUGACAUUAAUAUUAUGAACAGUAAUAAUCAUAAUAUUAUUAUUUAAUAUCCAUUAAUAAUAGAAAGAAUGAGAGGAUAUUUGAUAAUUUAAUUUAAUAACUUAAAAUAACUUAAUGACUUAAUUUAUAUUAAUCUUAAUUUUUUUUAUAUACAUAAUUUUAUAUUUAAAUAAAAAUAAAUUAAUUAGUUUAACUUAAUACUUAAAACCAUCAAUUUUUAAUUCUAAGUUGUAGUAUAAAGUUAUUUUAUCAAUCAUAUUUACUAACCGUUUAACAGUACACUACUACAAAAAAUGUAUUCAAUGACGUUCAUUUUCUUGACGCUUGUAAAAAUGUCAAGGAAUUGUAUUAAUCAUGACACUUAUAGAAAUUUGGCUAACAAGGACGCUUCUUGAAUAAAUAUAUUGACGCUUAUGAAAUUUACCUAAAUAUUGGCGCUUUUUCAAAGGUUUCAUUGGCGCUUUAAAUAAGAUGAUGCUUUUUUGGAGUGUCAUUGUCUGCUAUAAUAAAAUUUGUCAACCUUAACACUUAUAAUAAAUGUCAUUAUCUCUAUGCCUAUAUAUACACUUCUAUUUUCCCAAUCUCUCCCAUCUCGCAAACCAUCGAUAUCAGAGAUAAGAACCCUUGCCUUGCAAUCUACCAACAACAGCCACAACAAAGAUGACUGACGAACUCAAUGGCAACCAGUAGACACCCAUCUGUAGCCUCAUCGAGGACAACAACAACCAGGUAGAACGCUCCUACUAUCAAGUUGAUAACCUCUCUGAAUAUUAUUGGUAAGUUGAAUCUCUAUGUUUACUGGGUAUUGUGAUGAUUUUUCACCAGAAAAUAACUACCACAAACAGCUUUCAUCACUGGAGAAAUCUAGAACGAAGAUGCCCUAACCCUUUUUCAUAGCUCCAGUUGUGAGAUUCCCUAACUAAUUUUCCGCCACCAAGAUAUUGGGAACUCCUUCAAAUAAUCAACACAAGUAAAUCCCUUUUCUGAAGGUAGAGCUUCUUUAAUUUUAUUUUUUCUGAUGGUGUCACAGCCUUCUCGAUUUCGCACUUGAGAAAUCAAAGUCUCUAUUGCUUGGUUCUUGUAAUUUAUCAUUUUCAUUUCUUUAUUCUUUUGUGGUUUUGUGUUAAUUUUUUCAUUUAUUAUUAAGAAAUCCAAGUAAUAUCGGGAAGAUAUAAUUUGGAAUUGCAAUCUUCCCAAUUCAACCCCAAUCCCCUGUUUUGGUUGUAUUUGAGGCUCCAUUACUAUUAUUAUUAUUAUUUUGAAAAAAGAAUUCAACUUUAGUGUUUUGUUGAGCAGUAGAUGACAUUUAUCUUGCUAUGACUUUUAAUAAUUUAUGGGGAGCAAGCAAAAGCCUAUUCUUAAGAGCAACCAUUUUCUUGACCAUCAGAUUAAACACUUGUUUCUACAAAUCAACAACACUCCUGAUUACAGUCAGGUUCCUUCUUUUUUUUCUUGUUGCUCCUCCACUGUUUGAAGAUUGGUCGCAUCUAAUGAUAUAUGUAUCUAUAUGUGUUAUAUCAUUAUUUUUAAUUUAUUUUUAUUUCUUCUUUUCUGGUUUACAUUCCAUGUUUAUUUCCGAUGCUAAUGCCAGGUAGUCUAGCCAAUACAUGUUGGGCAUUUUUUCAAAAAUCCAAAAACAGAUUGAUUGGAUUUUGAAAAAAAAUAAGAAAGUCAAAAAAACAAAAGACAAUAGAGCACAUUUAUGGUGAUUAAGGCCAAAGAAUGAAUUUAGACAGGUUAGCAAUGAUAAUGGAUUCCAGAGAGCAAACUGCCUUGAUACUAUGAUGUGAGAAAUUCUAAAACCGUCUUACUAAUUCAAGAAGAAAACAAAUAGCACAUAUAUAUGUGUUUACAUAAUCCUAUUUAUGAAAUUCAAAAUUUAAUUGGAAACUGACUCUAUUAUUGGAAACUAACUCUAACCAUCCCUAUAAAUUACGAACACUCCUAAUAUUUAGAAAGUUUGACUUAUCAUAGCUGUACCAUAAUUUCCUUAACUUAAAGACCCUCUAUCCUUCUUUACCCUUUGUCAUCCUUUCAAGGAUCAGCACACAUGGCAGAGAAGAGGUGACCUUAUAUUGGCUGUCCAAAAGGUGGCAUGGAAUAAAAAUAAAAGCGGCCAAGAUAGUUGAGGAUAUUUGACAUGAGAGACUGAAAUACAAGUAUGAGCGUGCGUGUGAGUGUCAGCACACAUGGUAGAAAAGAUGUGCCCUUUUACUAUUUCUCCAUUUAACUUAAAGGUUACACUAAACAAAAACAAUAAGUUUAGGAUAUCUUACACAAGCUACCAAUCUGGAAAAAAAAUGGGGGAAAUGGAAGUAGGAGAGUGCAUGUGAGUGUCACAUAGAUGGAGAGAGAGAGAGAGAGAGAGAGAGCAACUAACAAUUGAAACUGUUAAAUCUGGUAAGAAAAACUUUGAUAAUUUUGGUGACAAAAUGAGAUCAGAGAUACAGAGAGCAUCUCUUGUUUCUUCUGUUUCUUAUUUUCUUCAGUCAUUGGCAAAUGGCACUCAUGAUUAAAAUUUAAAAAUUCUUUCCAAGACUUAAAGAACCAGAUGCUUUUUUACAUGCUCACUACUUUAUUGAACACAAAUGAAAAAGGAAUAGCAGUAUCCAGAACAAGGAAUCCAGCCAAAAAUGUGGAAGAAUUUUAUAUAAUACUAACUAUAUAAGUUUUAGACCUUUAAAGGAUCCUGGUAAGGGCUUCCUUAUUCCAUAAUAUUUAUGUAACAUAUUUUAUGCAAGAUAGGUNNNNNNNNNNNNNNNNNNNNNNNNNNNNNNNNNNNNNNNNNNNNNNNNNNNNNNNNNNNNNNNNNNNNNNNNNNNNNNNNNNNNNNNNNNNNNNNNNNNNNNNNNNNNNNNNNNNNNNNNNNNNNNNNNNNNNNNNNNNNNNNNNNNNNNNNNNNNNNNNNNNNNNNNNNNNNNNNNNNNNNNNNNNNNNNNNNNNNNNNNNNNNNNNNNNNNNNNNNNNNNNNNNNNNNNNNNNNNNNNNNNNNNNNNNNNNNNNNNNNNNNNNNNNNNNNNNNNNNNNNNNNNNNNNNNNNNNNNNNNNNNNNNNNNNNNNNNNNNNNNNNNNNNNNNNNNNNNNNNNNNNNNNNNNNNNNNNNNNNNNNNNNNNNNNNUCUAUUAUUAAUCAAGAAAAUGAACUCAUGAGUGAGAUGAAAAAACAUUAUCCACUACUUUACUACUUUCGGUAAAUCAUGUUGAAAAUAUUGGUGGAAUCCUUCAAGUCUGAAUCCUCCUAAGUGUGUUUUUAUUUGUUUUUUUUUGCUUCUUACUGUUUUAUUUUAAAUUUUAUAUGUUGGGUGAUCUCUUAUUUUCUAGGAUCAUUAUUUGCGUCUCUAUAGGGUCAGAAGUUUUCAAUUCAAGGUCUUUUGGGAAAAGAAAUAUGCUCCAGUUCUUUUAUUAAUGGAACCUUGCUGAUAUCUCGUUUAGCACCAUAGGUAUUUGGUACAACUUGUCUUUAUUGCUUUGUAGGAUAAAGACUUUUCAUAUUAUAUGGUUCAAUUAUUGAAUUCCAAAUUGUUGCAGGACUACCAUCACUUUCAUUUUCCAGUUUCUGGAACCAUUGAGCAUUGUGUUGAUGUACCAGGAUGCUUAUAUACAGUAUGUGCAAUUAAUAUCUAUUGAAAUUCAUGUUUGUUUUGCAAACUGUUUUUUAUUUCUUCAGAACUUCUCCUAAUCUUUUACUUCAUUUCUUUCUACUAGGUUUAUCCCAUUGUUGUGAAUAGCAAGUAUUGUAAUAUUAAUAAACAAGAGAUCCAACUUUCAAUAUUAAUAAACAAGAGAUCCAACUUUCAAUAUUUGUCAAUAAUAUAUCUUCAUAUUGUUUAGUGCAAUGAGUUGCACUAAUUAGACAAAGUGGUCUUCUAUUACGGAUAUAGGAAAAAAAAAAAAACAAGGCUAUCAUUCUAGAUGAGAACAAGGAGUAGGAGGUAAUGAUUGUGACAACUAGGAGUAAGGGGUUAAGUGCUAAUAAGAUAGAAUUCUAUUUGUACUAUAACUUUAUAAUUUAAUUAUUUACUUUUAUAAUUACAUAAGAUUUAUAUGAUAUCUUAAAUCAAGCAAUGUCAUGUUUCUUGGUUUUGUUAAAAUAAAAUAUAAAAAUAAGUCUAUACUUCCUAUCUUAGGAUUUUUAUCAUACCUCAUCUAGUAAAUUACAAGCUCCUCUUAUUAUCAAAAUAAACAAAAAUCAAAGGAACUAGUAAAAAUAAAAACUAGUCAAAUAAAUAAAAAAUAAUAAAAAUGUAAGAAAUUAAAAAUAAAAUUUAAUAAUAACAUAGUGAUAACGUGAUGGUUUUCAUCAUGUUUGGACCUUGGUAUUUUUUUUAUUGUGCAUUAUAGGACUUAUUCUUGUAUUCAAUAAUGCUUUAAGAGUUCACCAUUAAAUGUCCAUACAGAGCAACCCCAACUCAUAUAUACACUUUAUAAUAAGCGUUUGAUGCAUGUUUAUUCACUUAGAGUCUAUGAGUUUAUUAAUGAUUUAAUUUAACUAUUAACUUAUACUAAAAAUACAAUAUUUUAUCCCAUAAAAACAGAAUUUAUUUCUUCUAUGUUGUUGAAUAAAAAAUUAAUCAAACUUUUAAAAAAAAAAUUUAAGUACAUUUUUUUCCUUAUUUUGGGGAAAGCAUAAUAUGUUAGUUGAAAUUGUAGUUCAGGGUAUUUUGUUGAUAGAGUGCAAAUUUAUUUAUUUAGUUUCAACUCAUUGGUCUUCUUAAUGAAAUGUUUUGUAUGUUUAGUUUUACUUUGAUGAAUUCUUUUAUGAGGUCUUUUGAAGUAAUGCUCUAAAGGUGCAACAUAAAGAUGACAAUGGAGAGCUUUUUAUCUACAGUAAAAUAAUAUGUUAUAUUUUAUUUUGAAAACACUUCUUAAUAUAAUUUUUUUUUCCGUAUAAUGAAUUGAAAGGAGCACAAUCCAUGUAUGUAAGAUGCUAAGGGGAUUCAUGUAAGCAAACUUGAUAACCUAAAUUAAUUUUGUGAAGGUUAUAAUUUCAUUUAUGCUUAUUAUUUAUUGUAUGUAUAUAUAAUUUAGAUGUUUUCUACUCUUCCUUAUUUUUAUUUACAGGUUGCAAAGGAAAGUUGUUUGCUAAAAGAAGAGAAACCAUUGUGUUAAAGAAGACGAAGUCAAAAACCAUGAAGAUUAUAUCAGUAAACUCAUUAGGAGGUUGAACUAUGCUUUUAAAUAUUAUGGUUUAUUUUAGUAGUCUUGGUACCAAUGUUUGUUCUUAUGUUCAAAUUAGAAAUUCUUAAUGAAAUAUUUUGAUAUAAUUAACAAGUUUAUGUGUAAUUAAUAUAUAUAGGUGGUUACAUUAAUUGUUUAAACUAGGUUCAUGUAUAUCAAUCUUUGGAUAUAUUUUAAUUAAUAAAAGUCAAUUUUAUUUUAUUGGUUGUAAUUGCUUUAAUUAUAUAAGAAAUCAAUUAUUUUAAUAACGGAAUCAAAAUAUUAUUUUUUAAUAGAAAUUGUUUAAAGAUGACGCUUUCAUAAGCAUCAUUGUUAACAUGAAACAAAGAAGACAUUUUUAAAAGUGUCAUUAAUAAGAUUAAAUCAAAGAUGGCAUUCACAUAAGUGUCAAGAGUAGUAAUUUUAUAAAAAUUAUUUCAAUAAAAAUGCUCAAAGAUGACGCUUUCACAAGUGUCAUUGUUGACAUUAUUCAAGGAUGACACUUCUUAAAGCGCCAUUGAAAGCAUUAACAAGAUAUGGCGCUUCUUCAAAGUGUUAUUGUUAAUUGUAACAUUUAAUGACAGGGGCGGAGAGGACGCUUCGGGGAAGCGUCAUCUUUUACCUUUCUUGACGCUAAAAAAGUGUCAUUAUUUCACUUUUUUCUUGUAGUGGUAAUUUUAGGAAACACUUCUAAUAUUUUUAAUAUUUGACUGGUCCCUCAACGACGGUUAGCAUUUUAGUGAUAUUUAAUUAUGCAAAGUUAAACUUUCUCUAUGGCUAGUUAGCAUCAUUUAAUAAAUUAGUGUGUAGUUGUUUUGACUACACCAUUCUUGGAGAUUGUCUUGCGUUUAUGUACCAUAGAGAGAGCAAAAAAGCAUAGGAAUCCAUAAGAGAAGAGAAUAACAAGUUGGAACAAGUGUUUGGGGUGGCUGAGACAUAAAAGGCAAAGAAGGUAAUUUGAGAGGAAUUGGAGAGGAAAUAUGGCGACCCAAAUGAGGGAAAUGUGGAUAUUGAAAAUGAGGUUGGGGUUUUAGUAGUAAAAAUAAGGAUUAGAGAAGUGGCCAGGGGCAACAACAGUGUAGACUUGAAGUAUUACUAGAGUGUGAAGCCCACGAGGUGAUAAACGUGCUGCCAAAUUGUUCAAGUGAUGGUGGUGUUCCGACGGAGAAGAGGUGGAAGAGGUGGACCUACCAUAUGUCACAUGUGUUGAAAUAUUUACUAAUAAAAAUCCUAGACUAUGUUACUAAUGUGAUAUGAGUUCAAUCAUUAUUUUUAGCUUAGAUUUAUGUUAGUGCUAAGUUUGAGAAUUAAUGCACCAUUUUUUUUUUAAUACAAAGGUAGACAGGGAAGAAAAUGUGAUAAUUUAUUAAUAAUGAGGAUGAAAAUAUAAAAAUAAAUAAAUUAAUAAUAAUAUCAAUACACAUAGAGUAAAGCCUCUAUAAAGUAAUAUGCUUAGAAUCAAGAGAAAUUAUUAACUUAGUGGGAUUAUUAAUUUAUCAAUAAAUAAAUAAUUUAUUAAUUUAUCUUUAGAUAAAGUAUUAUAUUUCAGUUGUAUAGUAUUUGUAUAUAUAUGACUUAUAAAUAAAAAAAUAAUAGAUAUAAUAAAAAGUUAAUAUACAAAAGUCUAAAAUACUUUUAAAAAGAAGAGAUGAUUAUUAAAUAUAUGAAAUUAAAAAAAAAAACUCUUAAAAAAAAGAGACAGUGUUAAAAUUUAAUGUCUUAAAAGAUAAAAUAAGUUUCAAAUAUAUAAUGGUUCCGAGAUAUAGUGGAAUUGAUAAAAAUAGGAGUUGUAAAAAGUUAUUUAACAUUGUAUUAUGAAAUUUGUUUGUUAUUUUUAAAUGUACUUUAUUGAUUAUUAAUUUAUAUUUUCUUAGAUAUUUAGGUUAUGUUUGGUUCCCGGAAAAUACUAAGGAAAAAAAAAUGUAAAGGAAAAUGAUUUUUUCAUGUUUGGUUGUCUUAUGAAAAAUAUAAAAGAAAAUCAAAUAUAAUUAAAACUAAUUAAAAACUUAUAUAUUUUUAAAUUAUUUAAUCUUUAUAUUGAUGAAUUAAAACAAAUAAAAUGAGUUUGAAGUAACAAACAUAAUAAUUUAUCGACUUUUAAUCUAUUUUUUAUUUUCUUUCACUUUUUCUUUCCCUUGCAUUUUCCCUCAAAUUUUCUAGGAACCAAACAUAGCAUUUUAAGGAUUUCUAAAAAGAUUUAUUACUUUAUACACUUAGUGAGGUUAUUAAUUUAGUAUCUGAUUUGAAACUAAAAGAUCUUAUCAUUUAAAUGAGGUUAUUAAUUUAUCAAAUAUUUGUUUAUUGAGAUAUUACCAUAAUUUAAAUUUUUUUUUUCAUUUUAAAAACAUAUAUAAUUGAGGGUUUUUUUUUAAAUAAAUAAUAAAAGUCAUUUUGACCAUAUAAUUUAAAAUAAUGUUCUAUUUUAAAAAAUAUAUAUAUUUAUUCAUUUUUAAUAAGAUAAAGCAAUUAUACUCUUAUGAGGAUUUUAAUAUCCAUAUUUUAUUAAAAUUAUUUAAUUUUUAAUUAAAAAUAAUUUUUAUUUGAAUUAAGUUCAUUUUAUAUUAUAUAAGUUUAUUUCACAAUUUUUUUCUUUUUAUAGAAUCAAAAUAAAAAAUUAAUUUGAUUUUAGUCACGAAAUCCAACGGAGGAGGUGCUGAGAUCAAGGUAGCACAAGUUUGAAAGGUUUGCAAUAUUUGGAGGGAUCAUACCUCAAAAGCAUACUCCAGAGAGAUUGAGUUGAUUCAAUGAAUUUUGGAAUUCCCACUCCUUCGAAAUUAUUCAUGCAGAGAUCUAGAUGAUUCAGAUAUUUCAAAUAGGGGAAUUGUGAUAGGCUUUUUGGCAUUGUGGGGAUUGAGGAAAAGAUGGACCGGAACCAUUUCCAAGAGCGUACAGUUGAAAUUCCUGUGGCUGUCCUGACUGGAAAGUUUGUGCGCUCUUCCACAUCCUAAGGCAUACACGUGACAAGUUUAGUCAUGUAGGGAUUGUGUCAUCAAAUUUUCUCCUCUUCCACAAGACAAUAUGAACCAACUAGAGAAGCCUACUAGAACGUGGACCCAAAAAGAGGUCAUGUCUGGUAUUAAAAGUAAAUUAGACUUGUUAGGUAAAGCUUCUAGCGUACCAAACACCGGUAGACCCAUUCAUUGACCUCAAGUCUUCCAUCCACACUUAUUAAGAACCUGAAUUUCUACGCAUAGCCUCGGAUCGCCAACGGUUUAGGCCUAAGAUGGGUAGCUUCUGUCAGCCUAUGUCCAAGUUGGUUUUCAGAGUCCGAGUCCUCAUUUGGGUGCUGAAAAGAGAUGCUCUUGUGGACAUCAUUUCAAGCUCGGUUAGAAGAGAGGGUUGCUUGAUGAAGUGUAAUCUUCAAAUCUAUAUGUUAUUUUGAAAAGUAAUUAUCUAAUUUAAUUGGUGGUUUGUUGAUAAUACAAAAUUUUAUCACAUUUUUUUAGGCCUAUGUCAAUAUUAAUAUUCUAAGUGAUGAGUAAAUGUCAAAUAAUCAGAAUAUUUUUUCUCAUUUUCCGUUUCCAAGUUCUCUUCUUGGUGAGGAUCUUUGAAAAAGGAUAUUUAAAAAAAUUAGUUUAAAAUCUAUGGCAAUUUGUGAAGGAUCGAGUUGGCACAAGGCUUAAGUCUCCUUUGUCCACUGCAAAGAGUAGCUGGCUUUCCCUAACCCUUUUCCAAUACAAUAUCAUAGGUAUGCUUCCAUGAAACUGCGUCCAGGACCUCUUUAACUUCUCUUCAAAAUUGGAGGCUCUUCACGUGAAGUUGGUUAUAUCAUAUAUGGAAAGUUGAAAAUUACGUCCCACUUGCAAAAAAAAAAUGGCAAAAAGAACGCUCAAGUCUAAAGGGGAUUUCUGAGAAUUUUGGUAGCAGCCCAUACUGAAUUAUGAGAGGUACUACUUGUCAGUUGUCGCUACUUCAUCAUUAUAUAAUAAUAUGCCCACUUGGGCUUUGUGUUGGAAUAGUGGAUUAAAAUCUGAGUAGUGACUGGGCAAUUGAUUUUUACCAUUUUUCUAUUGAAGUCCAUUUCCUGAAGAACUUUCAGUGAUUUGCUAAAAAAAAGGGAUAAAAGACUUCAAGAAAAAGCAGGCUUAGCUUUGAAUAAAUAAAUAAAUAAAAAACACCAGAUAAGUUUGAUAGUGGAGUUUCUAACUUGUAAGAAGCACUUUCUUUGUCAUUGCUAUCCUAAACCUCCACACAUGAUCUCAAUUGGCUUAUAAAAAGCAUUUGUAUCAGUAUUUUGUGCAUUCCAUACAUACAACUUCUGGCUGCAGUUCUACUUUCAUGGCUAAUAUCAAUGCCUCCAUUCAUUUCCUUCUGCUUAUUUUCCUCUCCUCCACUUUUCUCUAUCUUGAAACUGUUAAACUUGGUUCCUGCAAUGGCGUUCUCAAUGUCACCUGCACUGAAAUUGAGAGAAAAGCCCUUGUUGACUUCAAACAAGGUCUUACUGAUCCUUCCGGCAGGCUCUCUUCUUGGGUUGGCCUGGAUUGCUGUAGAUGGAGUGGUGUGGUGUGCAGCCAGAGGGUGCCUCGAGUCAUCAAGCUCAAACUCCGCAACCAGUAUGCUAGAAGUCCGGACGCCAACGAUGAAGAUACCGGUGCUUUUGAGGAUGACUAUGGAGCAGCUCAUGCAUUUGGUGGCGAGAUAAGUCAUUCUUUACUUGAUUUGAAAGAUUUGAGGUACUUGGACUUGAGCAUGAACAAUUUGGAAGGACUCCAAAUCCCCAAGUUCAUUGGAUCAUUCAAGAGGUUGAGAUAUCUCAAUCUCUCAGGUGCAUCCUUCGGUGGAACCAUCCCACCCCACCUAGGGAACCUUUCUAGCCUGCUCUAUCUUGAUCUCAACUCAUAUUCUCUUGAAUCAGUUGAGGAUGACCUGCACUGGCUAUCAGGUCUUUCUUCUCUGAGACACCUUAAUUUGGGAAAUAUAGAUCUUAGCAAGGCUGCAGCUUAUUGGCAUCGAGCUGUUAACUCCCUUUCUUCACUCUUGGAACUACGCUUACCUAGAUGUGGGCUUUCUUCCCUUCCUGAUCUCCCUCUUCCAUUUUUUAAUGUCACAUCCCUUUUGGUGCUUGAUCUUUCGAACAAUGACUUCAACUCGUCGAUACCUCACUGGUUGUUCAACUUUAGUAGUCUUGCAUACCUUGAUCUCAACUCCAACAAUCUUCAAGGCAGUGUUCCUGAAGGAUUUGGUUACUUGAUUUCCCUUAAAUACAUUGAUUUUUCUUCUAAUUUAUUUAUUGGUCACUUACCAAGAGACUUAGGAAAGCUUUGCAACUUGCGAACUCUCAAACUAUCUUUCAACAGCAUUAGUGGAGAGAUAACUGAAUUCAUGGAUGGGUUGUCCGAGUGUGUAAACAGUAGUAGCUUAGAGUCUCUGGAUUUGGGGUUCAAUUAUAAACUGGGUGGGUUUCUUCCUAAUUCUUUGGGACACCUAAAGAACUUGAAGUCUCUUCAUCUGUGGAGCAACUCAUUUGUGGGGUCAAUUCCAAACUCCAUUGGAAAUUUGUCGUCCUUGCAAGGAUUCUACAUCUCUGAAAAUCAAAUGAAUGGAAUAAUCCCAGAGAGUGUUGGCCAACUCUCAGCAUUGGUUGCAUUGGAUCUCUCAGAGAAUCCAUGGGUUGGUGUUGUGACUGAGUCUCAUUUCUCCAAUCUCACAAGCUUAACUGAGUUGGCAAUCAAGAAGUCAUUUUUAAAUAUCACCUUGGUCUUCAAUGUGAAUUCUAAAUGGAUUCCUCCUUUUAAACUCAAUUACCUGGAACUCCAAGCAUGCCAACUAGGUCCCAAAUUUCCUGCAUGGCUGAGAACCCAAAACCAGCUGAAGACAAUAGUGCUCAACAAUGCUAGGAUUU
rnacentral:lncRNA from 1 species